rnacentral:lncRNA from 1 species
CUGAAGAAGUUGGCAGGUGACAAAGUCGUUGUGUGUCAUAAGCAGAACUAUCCCUAUGCUGUGUUUUUCUGCCAUGCAAUAAAACAUACAGCAGCUUAUGCUCUCUCCCUGAAAGGCGAUGAUGGGGAGAAGGUUAAAGCAGUAACCAUCUGCCAUCUAGACACAUCAGAAUGGGACCCAGAGCAUAUGUCCUUCCAAAUCGUCAACGUUAAGCCCGGAACCAUUCCCAUCUGCCAUUUCAUUUCCACUGAUGCUAUUGCCUGGGUUCCGAACCACAAAUCUGCAUGAUCAUCACUUAGCACUGUACGUAUAAUUAUCUCCUUACUUAUUUCUGCCUCUUCAUCAUGUGGUGUAAGAUAUAUGAUGAGAUGAAGUUUUUGGGAUUAGUGGUUGGGUUGCCUGAAAAACACAGAUUACAGAAACUGCUUGAAAUUAACCCGAUCAUGUUUUCUCUUGUAACUAUAUAGACUUCAACUUGUACUCAUAAUAAAGCAUGCUAUAUUUAUGAAGAGAUAUUAAUCUAUAUAUAUUUUUUAUAUAUGCUUUGGCUUUGUGGUUCUACCCAAUGUUUGAGUGUUGAAUUGUUACGUUGGAAUAGGCUGCUAAUGCAUGUAGUUAGAGAAGCCUUCAUUUAUAUCAAAGUCCUCAAACUAUCAAGAACUAAUGUAUCCAGAAACAUAUACCAAGACGCAAAACAACAUAUUUUCCAUGCUCUGUCUGUAACACCAAAGCAAACUUCCUUGAUCACAAAAGGAUCAAAUUCCAGUACUAAUCUAAUCCAUCAUGUAAAGCAUACAAGUGCCUCCCUAAAUACUAUACUCUUUUUGUUAUUUCCUACUAUACUAUUUAAGUUUGCAUACUCAUAUAGCAUAUGCAAACACAAUUAGAAAUUCUACAAGAUACAAACAACCCCCUCAACUUUGACCAGUGUGUCAAUUUAGUUCUUGAAAUUUAGAUUACAAAGCAAAAUCAAAUCAUACCAUGAAACACAAGCGACUUAAACCUCCAGGCAAAUAGAUAUUAUGAACAUAUAUAGCAAUUUAUAGAACAAUACAUUAAUCCAGAAGAAAUAUUAUGAAAUGAAAAGAAUAAAAAGUAGAAAAACACAAGGAAAGGAAUUUGCACCUGCUCACUUGCAGAUUGCUUUCUCCGGCCGUAGAUGUAACAGAAAUUUUCUCUUAAUAAUACCACAAUGAUCGGGUAAUUGUAAGAACAAGUUGAUUUAAAAUUCCUUGACCCAAAAAAAAAAAAAGUUGAUUUAAAAUUCAGGUCAACCCAUAGAUUUCUCCCCUUUUUCUUCUUCAUCUCGUGGGGCUUGUCUUCUUCUUGAGGAUUGUAUAGGCCAAGGAAAUGCUUUGAGUUAGUUUUUACGCUUUUGCGUUUUGGGCCUUGGAAGUUGGGACCCAAACCAACUUCACAAAAAGAAAACGCUCAGACUAUAAUGAAUGGAAAGUUAUAAGGGGUAAGUUAUAAGGGGUUCACUUUAUAGCCAUCAGAUCAAUCCAAGGGCUGGGGAGAAUUGAGAUAAAGUUUUAAAAUCGGGUAGGUGAGGAACCCAAACCCGAAUUGAAUAUCCAGCACGUCCGAAAAAGAAGAAGAAGAGGCAAGCACGUCCGAAAAAGAAGAAGAAGAGGCAAGUUCGAAGUUUGAACAGAAAAAACUCAUCUCUUUAAAACCCAUAGCUCUGAGAAACGGUUGAAGGCAACGGUUAACGACGGUUAAAGGCAACGGUUGAAGCCACUCCGUUCUCCAGACCCUGAAAAAGUAUUUAUUUUGAGUAGAAGGGGCAAAGGUGUGGAUUCCGAAACAGUGAAGGGGCGAAGCAGUGGAAGGGGGAGGAGAGAAGCCGUAUUCGUUGGAAGUGGUAGGUUCCAUUUGUGGAGCAAAGCAACACAAAGACCCCGCACAGACACCUUGCGAUUGUUCAAUAACCAGCAUUUGGUGAGUAAUUUAUGGAAUUUGAGUUUAGGGUUAGAGUAAUGGUUUUCCCCAAUUUGUACCAUCAAUUUUGUUGGAUUUGGCAUCUCUUCUUUGUGCUUCAGUUGCAUGUUAAUUUUUGCUUGGGUAUAUGUUAAAAAAAGAAUGAAAAUCAAGUCAAUAACAAGUGAAUAACAUGUCAAUAAUGAUAUGAAUAAGAUAAUGGUGUUGAAUUGGAGGAGGCCCUCAAAACAUUCCACAUUUGAAGCAGUGCAUAGUGCAGAUUAUCUCUCUGGCGCUAGAAUAUAUAUAUAUUUUGAAAUAAAUAUGAUUUCCUUUGUUACUAAAUUUGCCUGAGAAACAUGAGAACAGAUAAUAAUAAACUCAUGAAUAGAAGUGCAAAGCAUUUGAUGAGUAAUUUAUGGAAUUUGAGUUUAGGGUUAGAGUAACGGUUUUUCCCAAUUUGUACCAUCAAUGUUGUUGGAUUUGGCAUCUCUUCUUUGUGCUUCAAUUGCAUGUUAAUUUUUACUUGGGUAUAUGUUAAAAAACAAAUAAAAAUCAAGUCAAUCACAUGUCAAUAACAUCUCAAUAACAUGUUAGUAAUGAUAUGAAUAAGAUAUAAUGGUGUUGAAUUGGAGGAGGCCCUCAAAACCUUCCACAUUUGAAGCAGUGCAGAGUACCUCUCUGGCACUAGAAUUUAUAUAUUUUUUUAAAUAAAUAUUAUUUCAUUUGUUACUAAAUUUGCCUAUGAGAAAUGAGAACAGAUAAUAAUAAACUCAUGAAUAAAAGUGCAAAGCAUUUGAAAUAAAGGUUGAUCUAUGACAAUUGUGGCUGACAGAAGAAAAAGCUAGAAAGAAAGAAGGAUGUGGCAAUUGCUUAGCAAGCAGAUAGCAGAGUAGAUGCUUUGCUUUGCUUCCUUCCACUAUAUUAUUUAUUUAUUUAUUUUGUGUUGUGUAUGAGAUGACAAUAAUUGUCAUGUGUGUGAAGUGCAGAACUUGCCUAGAUUGCACUCACACUCACUCAUGCAUCAACCAUUGAUUCGAAUUUGGAUCCAUGAAUAAAACACAUGAAAUUGUUUGUAAUUCACAUAAUCAUUGCAUUAACAGGUAUUUGCACAAAAUUUUUCAUAUUGCUUUGAUGAUGUUAAAGCCUGUGAUCAGUAAUCCCUAUGCUUAUGUACUUUGUAAAAUUUGUAAUGUGCCUGGUUGACUAGUUGUGUAAAUACCAAUGUGAUUGUGCAAAUACGUGGUAGUAUAUGUGUUCAUGUUAUUUCAUCUUGUAUUUCAGGAAAUGGGAUCCAAUGUGGAGCUGGUAUGGCCAGAGUCAGAGGCAUAUUCGUCACGGGUGAACAACUGCUCACAUGCAAAUUCAUCUCUAGCUGCAAUUCGAGCGAAGUUGAGUGCGGAACAAUUAGAACAAUUCAAGACAUCAUGCUUUGGCCAUCUUCUGAAUAUAGAUAAGAUUCAGUUUAGCGGGCAGAUUGUGCAUGGGGUUGUGUUGCGUAGAGUAGCGGGGCAGGGUGUGAAAGACUUGGAUGGACUGAGUUUCUUAAUAGGGUGUGACGUUGCUCAGUUCACUCGUCAAGAUUUCUGUUUGAUCACAGGGCUUCGUUUUGGGGAAGUGCCUGAAGUUUCCAGUGGAGAGAGUGAUGAAAUUAGACUUCAGAAAAGAUAUUUUAUAGACGAAUGAAUUACAUGCAAUGCUUUAGAAUAAACAUUUUUGAGGUGCACAGAGGAAGAUGACAUCUACAAGCUAGCUCUUGUUUACUUUGCUGAGUUAGUGGUUUUGGGAAGGGACAAACAUUUGAACAUCAAUCUAAAUUACCUGACCCUUGUAGAGGACUUAGAUGCGUUCAACAGGUAUCCGUGGGGUUCGGUGUCCUUUGACAAAACCAAAGACAGUCUAUUUUCUGCACCAACAAAGUAUGUGAAAAGCUUUGAAAAUGAAGAGGGAAGAGGGAAGGGGAAAAGUAAGGUAACAGGAACAAGCCGGAGAAAUGAAAAGGGCAAGAAGGAUAAGCAUGGUGAAGUGCAAAGGGGUGGUUGGAGUUUUAAAGGUUUCACGUAUGCUUUCCAGGUACAUGGUAAUAAUGUUCAUGUCAGUUAUGUCUUGUUUUUCUUUAAAACUUAAAUAAUGACUUUUGUCCUGUGAAUUGUGUAGAUUUGGGUAUAUGAAUUAAUUGCUAGAAUGGCAGACCUGAAUUACUGCAAGGUUGUUGAUCCGACAGCUGUCCCGCGUAUUUUGCGAUGGAGAACUACUACGUCUGUUCCUGAGAUGAGAAAGUUGAACAAUUAUUUUUUCCAGAGCAAAGAGGUUUGGUUUGCAGCCCUUAGAACUAUUUAUAAGAUUUAAUGAAAUUAUGAAGUAGAAUGAUUGAAUAUGACUCUUGUCUGUAUUCUGAAACAGUCAGUUCAGUUGCGGGCGCUAUGUCCGAGUGAAGAGGAAAUGAGACAACCAUAUUGGAGUUGGCCACAGGAUCGCCCUGCUGUUGUCUCGGCAGAGUCAAUUCCUUCUUCAUGUGCUGACCUUGAUGAGUUGAACAAGGUGGUAAGCUUGUUGAGGUCCGAGUUGUUUCAAGUAAAGUUGGAAAAAGACGUCCUUGAGUUAAAGGUCAUACGGAUGGAAAAACUUUUGGACCACUGUUUAGGUCCUCAAUUUGAGCAGGAAGUAAGGAGGGACCUAGCUUUACUGAAAGAGAGGACGAAUCUUUGUGUCAUCUCACAUCUAUUUAAGGGAAGUGAGGAAAUGGAUGACAUUCAAUGGGAUGAAGGGCCAAGUAACAGAAAUGAGGGAGAGGAAAAGGAAGAUGAAGGGAUUGAAGGGGGUGAAGGGCCAAGUAAUAGAAUUGAGGGAGAGGAAAAGGAAGAGGAGGGGAUUGAAGGGGGUGAAGUGCAAGGAAAACCAAGUGAGGUAGAGGAAGCUCAAAGGAAAAGAAGUGAAGGAGAGCAAGUGAAAAUAAAAAGCAGUAAGGGAGAGAAAACGCAAAGAAAGAGCAGUGAGGGAGAGGAAGUGAAAAGAAAAAGCAGUAAGGGAGAGGAACUGCAAAGGAAAAGCAGUGAGGGAGAUGAUCCGCAAAGAAAAAGAAGGGAGGGCAAGGAAGUGAAAAGACAAAGAAGUGAGGAAAAGGAAGUGUAAAGAAACCAAUGUGAGAAAGAAGAUAAUGAAGUUAUGUUGCUUGGCGAUGACAUUGGCGAGAGCACAGAGGGGACAAAGGUUGAGUUUAGUCUCGGGGACAUUGAUUUGGAUCAACCUACAGCUGUGCUAUCUCAGUUGAAUGUUUGGUUGAAUGAUAAAGGUAAAGCUGUGGAACAAGGGGUCCAAUUACGGAAGAGGAAGAUGAUCAUUCCUAUGUGGAAGAUCAUUGAAGGUAGUGAAUUGGUUUCAAAAACUUUGGCAGAGACAACCGGACUUCAGAUGUUAGACCCAACGAAGGCGAUUCUGUAUGAUGAUCUGGUGAAAUUGCUGAAACUUUGUUGGGAAUGGCGCCAUAACCCAAAGUAAGUCCCUUGUUUUUUGAGAUAAAAGGCAUGAGUGUAUAUAUUUUUUAAUUGUUGUGUUCUAAAACUUUUUUAUAUUCAUAGUUUGGUGAUGCAAUUUGGCAACAUGGAAGCUGAGAUUGAAUUCUUCGCUUCCCUCAUCAAAGCUGAUGGUUGGCUGAAAGGAGAUGUAAGUUUAAUUGAUUAUGCAUUUGUUUUAAUGUACAUAGAUUAUGAGAUUGACAAGAAAAACAUGUUGCAGCACAUUGAUUUGGGGUUGUAUCUCAUCCGGAAGCGACAACAAGAGUUGGAGGAAGUAGAAAUAUCGGACUGGACAAUGACCGAUGUAUUUUUUAUGGUAUGUCAUGGGCCUUGACCAAGUGCUGUUAAUAAUUACAAAUUAUCCAUACUUGUUUUGUGGAGGUGUUUAACCAUUGAUUGUUUUCUAUUUCACAGAAUCACAUUCGUACUUGCUUUGCGGAUAAUAAAAGAAAAAAAGAGCAGGUUUGGUGGAAAAUUAGAAACAGUUUACUGAACGUUGUAAAUGGCAAGGUUCCGGCGUGUGAGAUGGAUUGGCAGAACAUAUAUAAGGUGUAUGCCCCUUGUAUGUUGACGAAGUACAAGCAUUGGGUGGCUGUAAUGAUUGAUCUAGUUUUGUGUGAAAUCCAAGUGUACGAUUCAAAGGUUUCACUUAUUCCAGAUGAGAUCUUAAAGGAAGAACUCGCCCCGCUUUCAAUUACGAUUCCAAAUCUUCUCAACACCAUCGACUUUUAUGAAGAAGGUGUUUACGUAAACAAUUGCAGCCGAGAUUGGUGGUGUCCGUGGCCAAUAGAGCGUGUGGAUGUUCCACAACAGUCUAAUCAGUAAGCACAACUUUUUAUUUAAUUUUAUUACUUUAAAUUGUCAAUUACGUUAGAAUGUCAUUAGUUGAAUUGAUCGAGUUCUUGUUUUGCUUCAGAGGCGAUUGUGGCAUGUUCGUGUUGAAGUACAUUGAGCUUUUGGGCGCUGAGAUUCCGUUAGCUACUUGCACCUCGGAGAACAUGCCCUUUUUUCGGUUGAAAUUGGCUGCAAAGAUAACACGGGGAGAUGCUUACAUGCCAUGAUAUUGGUUGAACUUGGUUUAGGUACAUGAUGAUUAAAUAGGUUUUGGGAAUGUCCAAUUUCAAACUCAUGUAAAUACACAAUAGAGACCUACGGGUCCUUUUCGAAUUCUACCUCUGCUCCUCUAUUCUUCUUCGUCUUUCUCAAUCUUAGUGUAUUUUUGUACAUAAUUUGAGGUUUAAGUUAUUGGACGAUAACAAUUAGAACCAAAAUAGUGGCAAAUAUUAUAGCGGAUGCAUGCUUUCAUUUUGAUUAGUGUGAUACUACGCUACAUUUAUUCUCAUAUUGUGCUAAAUGUAUAUGGAGUUGGAUGCAGAGCAUAGACAGAAAAAUGAAGAAACUGAAAUGGAGAUGCUGAGGCUUGGUGAGGAGAAAAGUAAAUGGAUCUGUAAAUCUAUUGCACGUAGGCAAUCUAAAUGGAUAGGCAGAUGAGUUUUUGAAGUUAGACACUUGUCAUUCCCAUACAUAGAAUGUGCCUAUGGAGUGUAAAGUAUUUUUGGAUUUAAUGAAACAAACUUCUGUGUAAUAUUAGCCUAACUCCUUCACGACAUUUACAUAACCUUAACCAACUGCAUUGAAUUGGGAUUUAAAGACUGCAUAUGUGAAUUGGGAUUUGAAGAUGGCUUUUUAAGUGUAUUACAUCAUUGCAAAGUGAUAUGUCAUCGUUUAUGCAAGCCACCAUUAAUCGCAAUAGGUUGCAUCUUAAUAAGGUAAUUCUGUAAGGGGAAUAAGCGGCUAUGGCCUCGCCUCUAAUGUUUUAUUCAACCAUGCCCUCUUUAUAGAAACACAUGAAAAAAUGUCCCCAGGUGCAAUGCUAUAAAAACUUCCAGUUGGUUCUGUACCGCCCCUCGGGUUUGAAUCCCUCUCUCCUUUAUAAUCGGUUAAUAAAUUCAUUGAUUUUCUUUUUUUUAUUGGUUUUGGGCAGCUCAGUAGCAUAAAAGUAAUGUAUAUUGGUGCGUCUAUAUUGCAUGUCUGUUGCGUCUAUAUUGCUUCUCUAUUGUGUGUAUAUCUUACAUUUAUUGUAUGUGUAUUGAUUGUUUAUUGCUUACGAAGGAAAUAAACAACAAUACACAGGCAACAGACAAACAAUAUAUACACAACAGACAAACAAUAUACACACAAUAGAUACGCAAUAUACAUACAAUAGACAUGCAAUAUACACACAAUAGACAUGCAAUAUACAUCCGUCCCCAAUUACACAAACCAUAAGGAAGUCGUAUUGAAUAGGAAAUUAAACUUAACAGUUGUUCUUCCUACUAAAAGAAAGAAUAAGGUCCGUUUUCCCCCUUAAAUCUUACUUGAGUGGUACUUGUGCCCCCAAUAAACAUCCAAUAUUGGAGCAAUAACAUUCGAUAUACAUGCAGCAAACAAUCAAUAAACCUUUAAUAAACAUUCAAUAUCGGUUCAAUAACAUGCGAAAUACAUGCAGUUAAUAAUCAAUAAACCUUCAAUAAACAUGUAAACAAUCAAUAAACUUUCAAUAAACAUUCAAUAUCGGAGCAAUAACAUGCGAAAUACAUACAGUAAACAAUCAAUAAACCUUCAAUAAACAUUCAAUAUCAUGCGAUUUAUAUGCAGUAAACAAUCAAUAAACUUUAAGUAUACGCAAAUAAACAAUCUAUAUACACUAAAUAAUUAUGCAAUUUUCAAAAAAAAAAAUGUAUUGUCUUGUUAUUGCAUCGUAUUGGCCCUGUAUUGUGAUUUUAUCGUCUUCGUAUGAUUUUAUUUUUUUAAAGUAAGUCUUGGAAAGUUUUUGCUGGGUUUCAAACAAAUAAAUGCUUUUGUUUAAAUUCAAUGCCAAUCCACUUAUUUCAAGAACAAAAAUUACAAAAUGGGUUUGAAAACUCAUUGGUGGUGCGUGCAACAUGUCUUUUUGGGGAGAAAUUUCACAAUCCUUGAAACCGUGCACUUAAUUGAUCAUUAAAAGAACAAAUAAUAUGACAAUUGAUACAACUAAUAAAACUAAUACCAAGUCCUUAAUGGACUUCAGCAUAUUCAGCACUGUAGCAUCAUACGUGUCAUCUUGAUGUUCUGCUUCAGCGGAGGUUACAUCAACCCAUUCGAAUCCAUUGCAACUGGUGGAUCCCUAAUUGCAGGCAUCAUAUAUGCAAAAUAAUUCUGUCAGAGUUAGACAUAGGUUUUUUUUCCCCCACACACAUAUUCUUGAAAUGAAAACUUACAUAGGAGGUUAGACACUUCCAAAAUGGCUUCCCUCGAUUUUUAUCUGAUUUUGAAACCCGAACCACCAUUGUAGCUCCACAAUACUGACACCUUUUUGUUUGAGCAGGAGAUGAAGACGAAGACAUGUUGAAUCUUCUCACUUGUACCUCUUCUCACUCAGAUCUUCUCACUGAAACCUCUUCGGACUCAUACCUUCUCACUCAUAGUUCUCAGUCAUACCCCUUCACUCAUAACCCUAAAUUUCUCACUCAGCUCUCUCUCAUCUCUGCCCAAAUCAAAUUAUAUCCUUCUUUGCUGUGUGUGGGUGGGUUGGUCACGAUCUGGACACCUGUACCGUCAGAAUUGUGACAUCUUUUACCCCGAAAAGCAAUAUAAUAUUUCACUACCAAAUAUUAAUCUGAAAAUUGAGGGGACACUGCUUGAAAUAUAUUAUUUUAUUUAUAUUUCAUUAAGACAACUAGUUGGAUAAGAAUCCAUCAUCAUUGGUUUCAUUUUAAUAACAUUACUAGUGGUAGUUUGGUGUGGGAAAAUGAAAAAGUAUAUGAUGGGACCUUCUGUGACUAGUCAGUAAUCCAUCACAUUUGUAUCAAUGAAUUUGAUGGUGGGAAAAUCCUAAAAAUGGCUAUGCAAAUAGGUUAUUAAUUGAAUUUUUGACUGUCUGACUCUCUAUGCAAUUUUAUGACGUUUUCCCUUCUUUUGUCUCGAGUUUUAGGGUGUCGGGUUCAGUUUCUUUAAAAACGGUCAACUUGGAAAAACCCCAAGUGGAAACACCUUUUAAAAACACUAUAAACAGAGGCUAAAACAAAACCAAAACCCCAUAUAUUCUCAUUUCUGCCCUCUUCCACUCCUCAAAUCGUUCCAUUCCAAAAACAUUUCAAUGAAUUCGAAACAUUUCACUACACUCGGAGGAAAGAGAAGGAAGCAUCUCCAUUUGGAUAUGCCCCAAGCCUUCAUCCCGGAGUUAGCUUGGUUUAAAGUGAUGUUAUACGUGGCAACCCAAUCAUCGGAAGAUCUCUUCCGUAUGGCAUCUGUGUGCCCAUUGUUCCAUACUUUGGCAAACACUCCACAAGUGUGGAACACCAUUUCAGUGGCAAAGUACCCAAACCAUCCUAGCUGGUACCGUGCCAAUCCUGCGGUCCAGCAUUUCUUGCAACAAUGCAGGGCUUGCGAUAACCCUAAGUCGAUAUUUAGAGAAGCAUUCGAAGUGUUUUUUAAGCAGGGUAACGUGGAAGCAUUGUAUGGGAUGCGCAUUACAGCCACGGCAGGCCAUAUAGAAGCGGCAUAUCUAGUUGGACUACUUGACAUGUCCGGAAUUGGUCAGUCAAAAGAGGAUGCAUUAGAAUUCUUGUGUUCUUUGAAUCAAUGUAACAACAUUGAUAUGAAAGGAACCAGGGAUGCUUUGAGACAAAGAUUAAGCCGACCAACAGUUGCAAGACAUAUCCUAGAUAUGUUUGACUAUGGGAAGAUUAAGUUCAAUCACUGCAGCCCUUGUAACAACAAUGAAUGGUGUUUUGUUAUUCAAGGCUGGCCUACUGAAGAAAAGAUAAAUCCUGCCUUCUGGACUUGUUGCAAUCGAUGCAAAUGGCACCGUGAGAGUAUUUUUUGGUUCAAGGUGAUGCGUGUGUAUGUUGUGCGAGGGAAUCCAUACCCUUAUAAUUAGUUGUAGUAUGUUUUUACGGUUUUUAUGCAUUGUGGACUUGCUUCUCUUCAGUUCUAGGUUCGCUGGCUACGUUGUACAAAUGUUGUUUAAAUGUGGGGUUUUAAUCUAUUUUGUCUGGUAUUUGUGCUGUCAUAAACCGUUUUAUAUAUAAAUGUAUAAUAUAUAUUAUAUAGCGGAAUUAUUACUGACAUCAUAGACGGCUACGAAUGACAUUUUACUGACACAGAUAUUUUGCACAACUGCAAUCUUAAUAUUUGGUAAACGAAAAGGCAUGCAUGGAGUAAAUAGGUGUCUUUUCACCAGUGCUUGGGAAUGACAUUUUCCCACUGAGCAUAUCCCAAAUGAUUUGGUUACAAGUUUCUUAAGCAAAACUUGAAUAGUGAAUGACGUUGAAUAAUUUUUUCCUAAUGUUGUAGAAUAGAUGACUUGUAUAUUUCCAUUUUAUUUUUCAAAACAUCCCUUAAACCUAAAAAAUAAAAAAAUUAACAAAUUGAAGAAGAGAGAAACCGAUUAGCACCAGAAAUGGCCUAUUCGCACGGAAAAUAAAAAUUAAAAAAAAAAGUUGGAGUAAAUAUAAUUAACAAAUGGACAGGCUAAAAAGUAAUAUAAUAAUAAUAAAAAUAAUUUAGGAUAAUAAUAAAAUACUAAUGUAACAUAACCAUGAAACAGGGAAUUCAGUAGGAAGAUGAAAUCUCAAUAAGUUCGUAGCAAUUUUCGAAACAUUAUUGGGAUUUUUGUGUAUUUAGUUAUGAAUUUUCCAAGAAAAAGUAAUAAAAUAAUAAUUUAGGGUAAAAUGCAAGGAUGUGGCCAUGUUGACUGACGUACACUUGUGCAAGUGAUGAAAGUUGACGGGCUGAGAUCGUGCCAGGUGUCCUCUUGCAAUUAUUUUGGCUUUUUUAGUGCAAAAAUCUUUGAAAAAAGGUAAUAAAUAGUAGGUCUUGUGACGUUAUAAAACUAGGGGAACCUAUAAAUCAUCCGUCUCGCAAUGAAAAAAUCCAAAUUAUUUUAGAUAACUCACUUUCCUCUUAACCCUAAGUAUUUAUGUUUGUUAACUUUAACUUCAAUAACCUACUUGAACAAUCAUCUCCCGUUAAUGUUCGGAAUUAUUUUUUUAAAAUGUGUAACCAUGUAUCGGGGAAUUCAACAAGGGAGAUUGAGUGUCAAUGAGUUCGUAGCAAUUUUCGGAUCAUUUUUCUAAUUUUUGUGUAUUUAGUUAUGAAUUUUCUAAGAAAAAGUAAUAAAAUAAUAAUUUAGGGUAAAAGGCAAGGAUGUGGCCAUGUUGACUGACGUACACUAGUGCAAGUGGUGAAAGGUGAUGGGCUGAGAUCGCGCCAGGUGUCCUCUUGCAAUUAUUUUGACUUUUUUAGUGCAAAAAUCUUUGAAAAAAGGUAAUAAAUAGUAGGAAAAUCCUAAAAAUGCCCCGAAAAUUACUCGGACCUCCUUGUGAUGUUAUAAAACUAGAGGAACCUAUAAAUCAUCCGUUUCGCAAUGAAAAAAUCCAAAUUAUUUUUACAUAACUCACUUUCCUCUUAACCCUAAGUAUAUAUUUUUGUUCACUUUAACAAUUAUAUUUCCUUAAUAUUCGUUAUAUAAUUUGUAAUAAUACAAGAAUUAGUUUCCUUUCAUAUAUAAGGAUGUAAAAUAAUUUGUUUUGUUAUAAUAAUGUACAUAUAUAAUAAUUGCACAUGCUUUGAAGCCAUCAUUGCAACUACGCCUAGAGCUUUGAACACGUCAGAGGUAUUCAAUAAGUUGUCCAUAUGACGCCGCAUUGGGAAUCAGUAAUAUAUUUUCUAUCAUGUCCAAUCACAUAAAAUAAUGCCAUACUUUUUCUGAAAAACCUCACACAAGUCAAGCAAUUUUAAAAUAUUAGUGAAUAUUUGUCCUAGUCUAUAUGAGUGAUUAUAUAUUCAGUCUGCAUUUUUUCACAGUAUAUGUUAACUUUCAGAGGGAUUCCACAAACAUAUAAUAUAAAGAAAGAAAGAAAUAGUAGGAGAUGAACCAGUACAAAAAACAAUAUAUAAAUGGUACAUAAUAAUUCCAUAACCUUGUCACAAACGCACUCACAAAUGCUUUUCCAUAAACCUUGUCCUAACAUAUAAUAAAUAAAGGCAACAUUGCAUAUGAUGCAACCAUGUCCAAAUCUGAUACGUGAUCACAAAAAAAUGGACAUGGCAGCAACAUAUGACUGAAGUAGAUGAGCUCUUUGCAUCUUGUGUUAUCGUAAUUAAAGACAUCAAAAGAUUAAGGUUGAAAUCUUCCAUAGUAGUAAGCAUCAAAAUAGGUUUGAAGCAGAGUUUAACGAAAAUUCCAAUUCCACUUAUUGGCCUCUGCUCAAACACGAGAACCAAAAUGGUUACUUCCCUUGCUGAGUAUAUUUGUUAACGUCGGAAACAGUAACAGAUGACCAAUCAAACCCGGGUACGACGAGUUUUGCAUAGGAUCGGAAGUAGUCGAAUCCAGCUUGCAUCACACGCUUCUUUGACUCCACUGCAUUAGAUGAGUUCUUGUAUUUUUGAACAGCUACACUCCGAAGUCGUUUGUGUCUACGCUUCAUGCACUGCAAAUUCGCCCUAUCCAGAUUGGCCUGCCUUUUGUCAUCUUCAAUUUGGCCUUCAACAAAUUCCAAACGUGCCCUUGGCCUUUGGAUUUCAUCACCAAGUUGAAGAUGCCUCUCCUUCCAAAAAGCAAGAACUCUUUCAGAUUCAAAACUUCCAACAAAAUGGUCAUUCUGUCUAGGAAUGUGACAUUGCUUGUCUAGUGACUCACUUGCGUUUCGAAGGCAGUCUUUGUUUGGAGGGGUGUUUAUUAUGCUCACAUCAAACUUGGUUAGUAAAUCCAUUUUAUGGGGGGAGUGAGUUUCUAUGGAGGAGAGAGUUUUAGUAGAUGGAGACAGAUUCGGUGAAGGAGUGAGUUUUGUGUGGAGGGAGAAUUUCUAUGAAAGGAGUGAUAGUAAUAGCAAUAAAAGGGUUCCCGCCAAAAAAUAUUUGGUUGACAAUGUAUAAAUUAAUUUUUGGUCUGAUACAAUCUAAGUUUAAUCCUAACUAGUUUGGUUGAGUUCACUAACUAGAUGUCACUUCCAUUGAGUUUCUUUCAACCACUAUCAGUGGUGUAAGGAGAGUGUGAGGUUGACAUGCUUGAAAAGCAAAACCUGACACCUCUUUUUUUAAAAAUUGAAAGAAAGUACAUAUGUUGACUACACACAACCUUUGGUAUGUUGGUCUAUAAACCUAUGUUCCCUUUCUCAAAUGAAAUUGCAUAUGCAAUCCUCAUCCUCCCAAAACAAAUAGGAUUAUUCAAGCAUGUCAACCUCUUCAGGCGCCAACAACACAAUCGAAGAUGACAAAUUGGAGUCGCAGGUUCUAUUUCCACAUUGUACUCACCGACCCCUUCCUUUUUCAACAUCAUUUGGGAGUGAGGGGGACUCCGAUGAUCCAUUAGAGGCAAUACAUGCAGUCAGUAGCAAGCUGGAUUAUAAUUCCAAACUGAUCAAUUCAUGGCACGAGAAAUGUGUUGAAGACGAGGCCAUUUUGGCUGAUCUUAACAUUAGAGUGAACAAAGGGUUCUCCCAAAAGAACAAGUACUUGAAGCUGAGUCAUAAAAGGAAGCUGAAAGCUGAGGAGUUGGAUACAGUAAUAAAUGAUGAAAUUAAAGGUUGUUUGAUGAACCAUAUGCGAUGCAAAGAGCAUCAUAGUGAACUGGAGUUGGCAUUCAACGAAGGAUUUUUAAAAUUUCAAGCAUUUGCGGCAACUACUCAUACAAGUUAUAAUUGGGACUAUGUGUCCCCUGAUGCUGUGAGAGAGAUACUAGACGAUGAUGGUGACAUGAAUGAGCAUAAGCACGUCAAAGCUGCUCGGAAGAAGCCGACCGAUACGACUAAGUGAUUGCGGCUACCGUUGUUCAGUUGGUUGAGGGUGAUCAUGGUAUUGCACAAAUUAGAAGUAUAUUCCCUUAAUGUCAUUAUCUAAUUUAAAAUAACACAAAUAUCAGUUUCAUUUGCUUCAUAUAUAAUUAUUGGGACUAUGUAUUGCAAGUCAUCAUGUGUUCCUUCUGUCUAACAUUAUAUUUUGCAAAUAUCGAAAUAUUAUUCAAUAAGCAGUCAAUAUCACAGCAAGUUGGGAAUCAGUAAACCCCCAUUAUCAUGUACAUUCACAUUAAAGAGCUGGUGUACUUUUUCUCAAAAAACUGACACGUGAGUCAUAAGUAACAUAACAUGUGCUAUACAUUGUUUAGUGAAUGGUUUAUGAUUUAUUUAUAUAUAAUAAAAUUCCAAAUAUUGCUGAAUAUUUAUUUCGUCUAUAUCACUGGGGACAUGAGUGAACAUACGCAUGUGAGACCUGCUAAGAAGAAGCUGACCAAUACGACCGAGGGAUUGUGGCUACCAUUGUUCCGUUGGUUGGGGAGAUCGUGGUAUUGCUAAGAGGGAGCACAUAAUAUGUUUUGCAAUCAAAUUUUCUUUUGUGUGUGGAAUUUUCUUUUAUGUGUGGAAUUAUGAGUAGUUCAAAUGUUAGUGUACCCUUUAAUAUUCUCCAACAGUUCAAAAUGUGAUUAGCUGAAUGUACUUUUUUACACGCUGCUUUCUAAUCACUCUGUUCCAACAAAAGGCUUUAAGUAUCCUUCAGUUACAAAUGUUUACAAAAUCGUGCCCCUAAUAACCAGUCGAGCUUAGAUCUUAAUAACCAGUAAAACACUAGAACAUAACAUUCGGAAAAAGUGAGUACUGUUGGAAAUCAUUACUGGUAAUGGAAACAACAGCUGGCUGCUGGAAAUGCUGCAUUAGCAUGUGAUAUAAUCAAUGAAUCUCUGUUAAAACAUAAUUCACCAUAAACUACCCAUUUUACAUGGUAAAAGUCAUUGCUUCUUCACAUAACUCAAAAUUUGAUACUUUAUCAAAUGUCUAUGAAAAUUUCUAAAUAGGGAGAAGACGUAAAAUUAACAUGUGUCCAAAUUUCAUGCAAGAAUGAAACCAAGCAAAUUUUCAUUUCAAUUACCAGUGGACAUAGUAAGAGCUCAUGGGUGGACAUGAACAAAAUAAUAAUAAUAAUAAAAACUGAAUCUAGAAAACUUCACCUGAUCAUUAGUCUUCAUAACAACCGGAUUUCGUCUAAUAGAAACAUAAAUCAUUCAGUUGGUCCGUGCAUCCUGUCAAAUUCGUCGAAUAAUGGGUCACUACGAUCUAUUGGAGUUGAUUCGUCAUUGUUCGAUGGUGAUGUCCUGCAUAAACAUCAAACAAAAGCACAUAAAAAAUUUACCUAUUCAAAUUUUAGGUGUUAUUAUAAAUAGUGUUAGCAUCUUACGGUGUGUUCAAAUUUCUUGAGCAUUGUCUUCUAUCAUGGCCAAUGUGUCCACACUCCCGACAGUGUCUAAUCCUUCGCUUCAUUGCCUUUUCCUUUGCUCCCGUUACUCGUUUCGACCUUCCUUUGCACCUCACUCUCUUAGGGUCUUUCAUAUAUUGUGUUUGAGAGCUGGACUCUCCAACUUCGUUAUUACUUGGUCCAUCCUUCAACAACUUCAACUUCACCUACAAACUUUUUAGAGUCUCUGACAGUAGCUCACAUCCUUCUUCACUCAUUAAUGCAUCCUCAACCACAUCUGAAGCAAGUCGAGACAUUGUACUCCGCUUUAUUAAAAGACCAGGAUUUGCAGAGUCUUUAAUUUCGUUGCCAUUUGCAUCUGACACCAAUCCAGAUUUCGCAGUUUUCUUCCACCUCUUCAAAAUAUAUUUAUCGGGCAUAUAUUCAAUCUGGUCCCUUCUGAACAAUGCUAAGAUGUGCUUGCAAAUAAUUCCAACAAAUUCAAAUCUUUUGCAGCUACACGAUGCGUGGUCAGAAUCUUUGACAUAUACAACUUCUGCCACUCUUGUUUCCCAAUUUUUCCUUUCGCUCACGUUAAAGACAACUUUAGAAGCAUCCUCUGUUUUGAGCUCUAGGAAACAUGCUGUACUUUGUAUUAGUUCUUGCUCAAACUUUUGAAACAUUGUCCUUGUGUACAAGGUAGCCAUUUGUUUGUUUAUUGGCAUCGGUAGAAUACAUUGAGCCACUUCAAAUGCAUCUAUGUGAUCAGCAACUAACUCUUUUUGACGUUGAUGAGAAAGUGCCCUCUCAAAUCGUAUUAUGAAAUCCAUCAACGAAUUUCUCUUUGAUAUGUAUUGCUUGAAAAAACCAUGAGAACCUUCCGCUAUUUGGCUGCUUGAUAUUCCAGCGGCAAAAAAUUGUCGUGCGUAGGCUGGAACCCAAGAUUCCCUUAAAUCAAACAUUGAACUUAGCCAUGGAUGGUCAGUCAAACCAGCCUUUGUAACCACAAUAUUCCAUUUUGCAUCAAACUCAUCCUUAUUGUCAGUAUCCCAUAUGACUUUCUGAAAUUCACUCCAAUACUCCUUAUAAGCAGAAUGUGGUAACUUAACAGAGAACUUUGAUGUGAUGUGCCAUAUGCAAAGUCGAUGAAAUGUAGUCGGGAAGGCUAUUGAAAUCACUCUGGUCAUUGCCGCAUCUUGAUCUGUAAUGAUCAUUUUAGGUUCGCCACCUGGCAUGGGUUUCUUAAACUCCUCAAACAUCCAAAUAAACGACUCAGUCGUUUCCUUGCUAAAAAAUGCACAUGCUAAGACAAUUGUCUGACCAUGGUUAUUAACUCCCAACAUUGGUGCAAAUGUCAAGUCGUAUCGAUUCGUGUUGAAUGUGGUAUCGAAUACAACAACAUCUCCAUAAAACCCGUACGCCCGUCUAGAAGUUGCAUCUGCCCAAAAAAAUCGACUAAACUUGUCAUGGCCAUCUCCCUCAAUCUUGAAAUAAAAAGCCUCAUUUUUUUCUGUUCAGCCAUAAAAUACUCGGUCACUAGUUCAACAUCGUGGUUCCUCAGCUUCCCAUUCACACUACAUUCAAGAUUGUAGAUAUCUUUUUUGAUAAAUCUGAUUUUAUCCAUUCCUCCGGAUUGCACCUCGAAAAUACUUACCUUCUGAUGAAUGAGAAUAUUAACUGAACCCAACUGUUUUGUGAGUACUUUUGUAGAAUCUGAAAUACGACGGUGUGAUCUUAAUAAAUGCAUUCUUUCUGAGGGUGUCAUCUUAUGAUUGUGUCCCUCUGCAAAAAGAGAGAUGGUAUACUUCUUGCUCCCAUUUGCCUUCACAACUACAAUCUUAGCUUUGCAAUUGCAUCUACUUAUUCCCCGUUGUCUUUUUCUCUCUCAAGUUUCAUCUCUCAUGUAUGCACCUUGUUUGCAACAUACAAAUUCUUUCCUCAAAAUCUCUUUCUUAUUUUUCCCCCAAAAGCUGGAAUGAAGUCGAAUACCAAAGCCAGCCAAGAAUGCAUAUCUAUUAUAGAAAUUGUAAACGAGGUCAAGCGAGUCGAACUUCAUCCCAACUGCUGGUGUUUCCUCAUUUCUUACUUCAGGAAUAUAAACCCUCCCAUUAGCUGUUACACAGUCAUCACUCUCUGAGCCCCCAGACAUUUUAUCUACAUAUAUUAUUGAUCCACUUCUAUAUUACUGCAUAGCAAAUAUUAAUUCAUUAAUCAGUCAUUACUGCAUCACAACAUAUCAAUGCAUUCCACUUACACAAAACAUUGCCCAAAUUGACACAAAACACACAUAGCCUAACUUGUUGGAUUCCGAUUACACAAAACGCAAGCAAAAUUUAAUAAUAGUUACGUCAUCUCUUGUGAAAUAAUCUGGAAAAAAUAACAUUAGAACCAACAUGUUCAACUAAGAACACAAAUGUAAUUCAAACCACCAAUUACAGAACUUCACCCAAUAUCCUCUCCAAAUGCUUACUCCUAAUGUCAUUAAGCCUAAAUUUAGGAUCUUUUACCUACAUUUCAUAAUUUUCCACCCCCACCAAAAACAAUCAACUAAGUAUAUUGAAUAUUCAUAAAGAAAGGACACAUUAUUGACUCCACCAAUGACGCAUUAUUGAUGCCACAAAUGACGAAUUUCCCACCCUCACAAAAAAUAAACCAAAGCCAAUAAAAUCAAUCCAGCAAGUGAACUUACCUCUCAAAAUCAAUCGGGAGCUCCGAAGUCAGUCAGCUUGAGAGAAUGUGGUGGACAUUAGAGAAGACUCUUUGGUAUUUGAGACUCCAUCUCUACCAAAAUUGAGGAACAACUGCUGCUGCGGCAUCUAGCUACAAAAAGAGAUAUGCUACUUUACUUUCAUCUGGAAUCUUGUCUGCUGAAUGAAAAAGAGAAGGGGUUUUCACUUGAGCCAUAAAAUCAAAACAGGGCAACAGCUAGGUAAGAGCCAUUAAUCGCAAUACCGAGGAUACCAUAGAUCGCAGGCCUCCCAAGAAGCUGAUGACAAUGGAGUGACUAUAGGGUUUGGGAGCUUUGGAUCCUUCUAAUUGUGGGUUUUCUUUACAUUCAAAAAGAGAGGAUUAUGUUCUUGAGUUUUUCACAAAGAGGGAAAGAGGGAAAGAUGAGACUGAAGUUGGGUUUCUAACGGGUUAGAUUUCAACCCGAUUCUACAUGCACCCUUUUUAAAAACUCACCGUUGGAUGAAAUCCAACGGCUCUUACAUACCCCUCAAAAACACCCCUUAUAACUUUCCACUCACUAUAGAAGCUCCCAAAAGAAAACAGAUUUGCCAAAAAUCAAAUUUUAAGUCUCUCCUACGAUCGAAAUUUGGAUUUGAUGAACUAAAGUGGUUUUACUUUCUCCAUCAGUGUUUGAUGACUUAAUUUGUUAUUUACUUUUUUUAAAAAAACUUUAUCUUAUAUAUAUUAGUUUUCUUUUUUCCUUCAUAUUCACCACCUUUAUGUUGCUUAAGUAUUUCAGUCUUAACGGGUUUCCAUCUACCACUCAUCUUUGCUCUUCUCAGUGUAAGCCUUUUUUUUAAGCAUAAGAUUAGAGGGGAGGGGGGGGAGGGGGAUUUCUUAAUGUAAGCUUUGCAGUUUCAUAAUUAAUAUUUCCAAUAUCUCACUGUUAGUAAAAUACAAAACAUGAAAAGUAUGAAUAAAAUACGCACAUGUUACUAAUUUAUUGAGAUAAAAUACCAUUUUGCCCCUAGAAUAUUUUAUUAGGUUUAAAGUUGACUUUUUGACCAGGAAGGAAUUUGGGUAUUUCGACUAUAUCGUUGCAUAGAGCACGACGAGGUGAUUCCAUAGACACGUGGUAGGCUCGAAUCGGAGUUGUAAUGAGAGACAUACGAUCAAAAUACCUUCAGUGGCAUAAUCGUAAUUUUGGCUUAAAGGGUUUGAUAAAAUAUGAUUUUUCUUUCUUUCUCUCUCUCUCUCUCCCCGCCCAGUCUCUCUCUCGUGACGGCAGUGAUAGCCGGCCACAUUUUGGCCAGCCGUGCUCUCGUCCGGCCACCAAAGCUGAUGGGGCCGGUACCAAAAUGAUCAGGCCACCAUCCUUUUCCAACCUCAGCCAGGCCCCGCCGCCAGCAGUCGUGGUUUUGCCGGAAAAUGGAGAAGAAGCGGCCGGUUUUGUUCGAACUUCUCCGACUUCGUUCUCCCUCCUCUGGCCACCGAUUCCGAUGAAUGAGGUAUGGUUUCUCACCUACUUUUCAUGCUCUAGCUGCCUGUUGGGUAGGAUUCGAUCAAUCCCUAGUGUAGGUGGCUUGAUUUUCGAAUUGGGUUUCAGCCGAUUUUGGGAUCUCGAUUCCAGCCCCUUUCGAUCAGUUUUUAGGGUAGGUCCCAGAACAAAAGUGGUUCCAAAUAGGGUGUUAUACCUAGGUAGGAACCUUGAGCCGUGAUUUUGAGAAUUUUCUACGAUGCCUAAUCGCUUUGGACACCCACGCGCUACCGGCACGUGGGCACUGUAGAAAAAGGGCAUUGUGUCCCGAUGCGAUCCCCUUGUUGUCUUGAGUGCAUAGGUGUGCUCGGAUUUCAAUUGAAUACCGUUUGAGUCUCGAACGAAUAUCACAUAUUGUGCGUUAUCCGGAGUCGAUAGGUUUGAACCGUUGGAUAGUCUUAGAUUUAUAAUAUGUUAAUCUAGAUAUUCUUAGGAUCAAAAAGGAUUUGACGGAUCGUAAAAUGGAGUCCCGGAUACUCCGAAAAUGCCAACCCUAGGGCUAGGUUCCUAGUAACCGUCCGAUCGUGCAAUCAUGAGCAAUCCGACAGUCCGAUCCGGACCAAACUUGCAGGACGUGUAUCCUAAACCUUGUAGAACCCAUAGGAACUUUCAGAUUAGAAUUUGGAGGUCGUGGGCCCCUUGGGCCCGUUUGACUAAGUUUGGGUAGUUUGACCAUUGGCUGAUCGUGAGUCUUCAAAGGUAGUUUUACCUUCCUAGGAGGAUUAUAAAGACCCUAGUGACAGGUCUUGAGCGUUGUUGAGCUAUGUUGACUAGGUUUAGACUUUUAGAGUGUUUAUUAUUAUCGUAGGAAACUCUUGGAUAUUAUUUUAAUAAUUGAAAUUAUGAAAUUUAUGUUUAUGUGCAUGAUCGUUGGUCUAAAAAUAGCAUUAUUUUCCUGAUAAAAUUACGUUGCAGUAUACUAUAGAAUGGUAUCACUAAAUGGGGAUUACCUCUAUUAUUAGUUUAGAUAAUUAUGAGUAUGUCAGUUUGAAGUGCUAUACGCACUACCCUAAGUACCACCCUGUGAUUGUUAGGUCCCAUGUGGUGUAGGUUAUCCAGUGUAAGGACAGACCCCAUACGUGGCUUCAGAUGUUCUGAAGUAUUGGGGAGAUUAUGUGAUGGUUUUGUCACACGUGGCGUAGGUUAUCCGGCGUGUUGACAGACCAUAUACAUGGAGUUGGAUGUUCCGGCAUAUGGAGAGAUUUUGUGAUUGUUAGGUCCCACGUGGCGUAGGUUAUUCGGCGCGAGGACAAACCCUAUAUGUGGCUUUAGAAGUUCCGGCGUAUGAGGGAGAUUAUGUGAUGGUUAGGUCACACGUGGCGUAGGUUAUCCGGCGUGUUGACAAACCUCAUACGUGGUGUUGGAUGUUCCAGCGUAUGAGGAGAUUUUGUGAUUGUUAGGUCCCACGUGGCGUGGGUUAUCCGGCGUAAGGACAGACCCCAUACGUGGCUUUGGAUGUUCCGGCGUAUGGGGGAGAUCAUGUGAUGGUUAGGUCACACAUGGUGUAGGUUAUCCGGCGUGCUGACAGACCCCAUACGUGGCGUUGGAUGUAACGACCCGGUCCUAAAUAAAUUAGUAAAUAUUAAUUUAUUCAAAGAAAAUACCAUUUUGCCCAUAGAAUAUCUUAUUAGGUUUAAAGUUGAUUUUGUGAUCGGAAAGGAAUUUCAGAAUUUCGACUAUACCGUUGCGUAGAGCACGACGAGAUGAGUCCGUAGACACAUAGUGGGCUCGAAUCGGAGUUGUAACAAGAGAGAUACGAUCAAAAUACCCUCAGUGGCAUAACCGUAAUUUUGGCGAAAAGGGUUGAUAAAAUCAUAUUUCUCUCUCUCGGCCGGAAAUCCCAGUUGACAAAAUCCCGGCCGGAAACCUUGAAUUUCAGCCACAGCUUCGACUGGUUUGAACAGGGUUUUUCCCGGCUUUGCCCCAUCGCCUCCGCCGCCCAAUUCUGGUGAAACAGGUAUGGUUCCUCACCUAUUUUCCGAGAUCUAGCUGCUGUUGUGUAGGAAUUGGACAAUUUUCGUGUUUAGGAACUCGAUUUAGAAUUUUGGUUUUGCCCGAAUUUUCAAAGUGAAAUUUCGGCCACUUCUGCUAGUUUUUGGGGUAUGUCCAAGAACAAAAGUGGUUCCAAAUAGGGUGUUAUACCUAGAGUAGGAACCUUGAGCCAUGAUUUUGAGAAUUUUCGGCGAUGCGUAAUCGCUUUGGAAGCGCGUGGGCACUGUUGAAAAGGGGCAUUGUGUCCCGAUGAGAUUCCCCUGUUGUCUUUAGCGCGUAGGUGUGCUCGGAUUUCAAUUUGGAUACCGUUUGUGUCUUGAACGGAUAUCACAUAGUGUGCGUUAUCCGGGUUCGAUAGGUUUGAACCGUUGGAUAGUUUUGAAUUUGAUAUAUGUUAAUCUAGGCAUUUCUAAGAUCGUGUAGGAAUUCACGGAUCUUGAAUCGGAGCCCUGGAUGUUCCGAUUUAAUAACUUAAAGUUUAUGUUUAUAAUAACCGUCAGAUCGUGCAAUUGUGAGCGAUCCGACCGCCCGAUCCAGACCAAACUUGUUGGACGUAUAUCCUAAACCUUGUGGAACCUAUAGAAAUUUUCGGAUUAGAAUUUGGAGGUCGUGUGCCCCAUGGGCCCGUUUUACCAAGUAUGGGUAGUUUGACCCUUAGUUGACCAUGAGUCUUCCGAGGUAGUUUUACCUUCCUAGGAGGAUUAUAAUGACCCUAGUGACAGGUCUUAACCGUUGUUGAGCUAUGUUGACUAGGUUGAGACUUCUAGAGUGUUUAUUAUUAUUGUAGGAAAUUCUUAGAUAUUAUUUUAAUAAUUGAAAUUAUGAAAUUUAUGUUUAUGUGCAUGAUCGUUGGUCUAAAAAUAAUAUUAUUUUCCUGAUUAAAUUACGUUACAGUCUACUAUAGACUGGUAUCACUGAAGUGGGAAUACCUCUAUUAUUAGUUUAGAUAAUUGAGAGUAUGUCAGUUUGAAAUGCUAUACGCACUACCCUAAGUACCACCCUAUGAUUGUCAGGUCACCCGUAGCGUAGGAUUUUCUGGCGAGAUGACAUACCCCAAUUGUGGCGUUGGAAUUUCCGGCGUAUGGAGAGAUUAUAUGAUUGUCAGGUUACGCGUGGCGUAAGAGUUUUCGGCAUUAUGACAGACCUCAUACGUUGCGUUGGAAUUUCCGGCGUAUAAGGAGAUUAUUUGAUUGUCAAGUCACCCGUGGCGUAGGAUUUUUCGGCGGGAUGACAGACCUCAUACGUGGUGUUGGAAUUUUUGGCGUAUGGGGAGAUGAUAUGAUUGUUACGUCACAUGUGGCGUAAGUUAUUCGACGUGCUGACAGACCCCAUAGGUGGCGUUGAAAUUUCCGGCAUAUGGGGAGAUGAUAUGAUUGUUAGGUCACACGUGGCGUAAGUUAUCCGGCGUGCUGACAGACCCCAUACGUGGCGUUGGAAUUUCCGGCGUAUGAGGAGAUUAUGUGAUUGACAGGGAGAUGAAUAAAGGUAUUGUAUGUGUUUGGAAUGGGGAUUUAGUAGGAAGAACUACGUGUGGCUUGAUCCCUCAGUGAGGGUAUGUAGGUAGCCUAAGGUUAUUAGGUGCAGCCGCGGACAUAGAUGUGAUUGUGUUAGGAGGUUAAAACCUCGUAUGUUGGAAUUGGAAAAGUUAGAUGAUGUAUGUUGUAUUUAGUAUUCAUAAUUCAUAUUUGAGUUUAUUAUUUGCCUUGCUGAAAGCAAUAUGUGACUCAAGAGCUUUGUGGGUAGUUUGGGAUAUUAAAUGUGUUUUAUGCAGGUUGAAAAAUUUGGGGAAUGAUCAAUUUACAGGGGAGACUUUGCCGAAAUUUCGACAGAAAGUCCCGGUCUUUAGUAAGUGGGCCCGGCAUCGGGGUGAUGUCGAGAAUUCCAUAGGAUUCGUAUCGGGUUUCGGGAAAUCUGGGGCUAGUCUUGUCAUUGGAUGUUCCGGCGUAUGGGGAGAUUUUGUGAUUGUUAGGUCCCACGUGACGUAGGUUAUACGACGUGAGGACAGACCCCAUACGUGGCUUUGGAUGUUCCGGUGUUUGGGGAGAUUAUGUGAUUACUAGUGAGAUGAAUAAAGGAUUGUUUAUAUUGGGAAAAAUGUGUUUGUAGAAAGAAUUACGUGUGGCUUGAUCCCUCAGUAAGGGUACGUAGGCAGCCUAGGGUAGUGGUUAGGUGCAGCCGCUGACUAAACGUUAUAAUGUUGUUUUUAGGUUUGAUUAUAUGGUAUUAUGGGCCGAGGCCCCUGGGACUAUUGGUUAUAAUUCAUAGAUGGUAGUUGAUGCAUGCUAGAAAUUUGUAGGAAGUUAUUUCAUGUGGAUUGCAGUGGUACUCGUAAAAUUUAUUUGAGUUCCUGAAUUGCAUUGUUAGUAUAUUAAUUGACUUAAGAGUACUGCUAGUAGUUCUGCCUUGAUUUAUUUGAAGGUUGGAGGCCUUGUCUGUAAACUGUGUGCAAUUACAUUGUGUGUGCUGGCAGUUGGCUUUUUAAAUUGUGAAUUUUGUGCAUGUUGAAAUUUGGGAAAUGUUCAAUUUACAAGGGAGACUCUGUCAAAAUUUCGAUAGAAAGUCUUGUGCCCUUAUUCCUUUUUCGGAAAAAGGAUAUAUAGCUUUAGAAGUGGGCCCGACAUCGGGAUGAUGUCGGGAAUUUCGACAGAAUUCGUCUUAGGUUUCGGAAAAUUCGGGGCGGGUCCGAAAAAGUUGCUUCAGUUUUGGCAAGUAUCGGAAAAGACCAAAAUUUUCCGACUUUAUUAUUACUAGAAACAAAGUCGAAGUAUUCACCAAUCAUGUGGCCUUCCAAGUGCUCAAGGUUAAGCCAGGAACCGUUCCUAUCUGCCGUUUCCUUCCCAACUAUGAUCAUGUUGUCUAGGUUCCAACCCACAAAUCUACAUUGGGCUAUGUAUUUGAAUUUGUACUAAAGCGUGAUCUAUAGUAUGCAUUUAUUAGAUAAGUUUGAGAUGGCAGUGGCUUGGGUGUCCGCCGAGCUUGAACAAGUUUGGGUGUGCUGAGUGUUUCCAUGGGUGCGUUGAUGAUCAUGGUUAUUAGAUUUGUGAUAGUUUGGGCUCAAUUUCAACAGAACUUAUCUCAAGCCUAGUUAGUUGAUUCAUAAGUUUAUCAGGAAAAAAAAAUGAAAAAUGAAAAAUGAAAAAUGAAAAAAUCUUAAGUUAAGCCCAAGGACUUCUCACCAAAGUGUGCAUAAAUUGAAAUAUUUAAUAGAAGCCCAAGAUUUCUGAAGCACAUAAUAUCUACUAAAUUCUACAAAGUGUUAUACUUUACAAACUUCCUAUGUGUACCAAUUUUUACUAAAAUUAAUUUCUCUGCGGUGUUGAGAUUCAUCAUAAUUUUAGUAGAAAUUGGAAGUUUUCAUCAUUUUUGCUUUAAGUCUCUCCUCCACUCACUAAUAAAGAUUACUCAAGUGAGUUUACAAAACAUUUUUUUCUACUCUCUCCUGAAAACUACACUUCUUCUCAAAAGAUUAGAUCACUUCACAUCUUGCAUAUGUGAAAACUAAUGUAAAAAGUUGAAACUUUAUCAUAAAACCUCGACAAAAAUUAGCUCUACUUAAAACGUUAAAUUUGGAUUCGUUGAUUUAAAUGGCAAUUUGACACUUCAUAGAAAUUUUUACAUACAUGUGUUAGUGUUUGAUCACUUCACUUGUUACUUACUAUAUUUAUUCCAUGAUUCUCCCUCAAGUUAGGUAAAUAUUAUUAUCAAACAUUUCAAUUCAUUUGUGAUCUUUCUUGUCCAUCUUUUAAUGUACCCUGAAAUCCAUUAGCCACAUAUGAUGACCAAAAUCCAUACGUUCCUAUUUUUAAUGUAUGUUUACUCCCUAUAAUGUUCCAGUCUAGGGUAAUAACACUGCUAGUUUCAUAUGACAUCCUAUUUCUAAUGUGUAUCUACCCUUGUAAUGUUCCAGUUUAGGGUAAUAACACUGCUAGUUUACUAUCAUGUUGAUUAAUGCUUGUCAUGUUGCUAUUUCUAAUACAUGUCCAACAAAGAAAAGAUGAAGAAAGAACAAACCAGACCAACUCAAAAUAAGUUGAGUCCAAAUAGUUAAUACUAUUAUGUCGUAGAAGUACGUUGUUAAUACUCUGUAAUAGAAGUACAUGGUUAAUACUCUGUCAUAGAAUUACAUUGUUAAACAAAAAUAAGAUCCAUAACUGAAAUAGUAAUAAAAGAUAAGUCGAUCAUCAAAUCUUAAAAUACAUUUCGAAAAUCAACUAAAAUCCGAAGAGAAACACAUAAUUGAAGCAAAAGAUCAAAAAUCUCAAGUCCAAACCAAACAACGACGACGACGACAAUGAUGACGACAAUGACGUGGCGAAGAGGAGUAGAGCUCGAAGAUGAGGAGUAGAGCUAAGAGCAUUUGAUCAAGGUUCGUUUGAGGUCUCGAACAAUCCGAAAAAAAAAAAUCAAUAGAAGCAAGAUUUUAAAACAAGAAUCGAAUGUGAAAUAUUGAAAAUUGUAGAUUAAAGAUGAAGAAUAUAGUUGGACCUGAGACUGAGCUCCAAUGGAAGCUCCUCUUGCUCCAACACCAGAGAAAGCACCAACAAGAAAAGAGAAAAUAAAUAUGAUUUGGAUUUUUGGCAGAUUUGAAUUUUUGGCAGAUCUGGUUUUUUUGGCAAAUUUGAAUUUUUGGCAGAUCUGUGCAGAUUUGUUUUUUUGGCAGAUCUGAUUUUUCUCUCUCAAAUCCAUAUUGCAAGGGCAAUAUAGGUAUUUAACACACACAAAUAAACUAAAAAACAGCUAUUAAAUUGAAAAAUUUGACAGCUAUCAAUUUUGGGUGUGUUUGUAGUUUUUAAAUAGUAUAGGGUUUCUUUAUUAGACUAUGUCUACGAUUGGGUAUAUAAUUAAAUUUCUAUUAUUAAAAAAAAAGGACCCUAGUAAAGCCAUGGGACGAUACUCCUUUUAUAUAUAUUAUAUGAUAUAAAUAUUAUAAUAUAUUAUCUAAUAUUUGGAAUAUUUACUCUAAAAUAAACAAUAUAUUAGGUUCUUUUUGUCUACAAAUUGACCAUUAAACUUCUUAAUCACUCUUAUACUUUUAAUUAAAUCUACUAGGCUAGGUUACGAUAUUUGCACUAAAAACUCCUAAUUGUUUUUUCUUCUCUUUCUCUUGCUCUUUUUUUAACUUAAGCUGAAGUUUUGUAAUUUUUUUUCCCUCCCUUUUUACAUGUAUGAGUAGGGUACUUUAAUAUUGGGAUUUAUGAACUUUUUUUGUAUUUCUUCUCUAUGUUGGAAUAUAAAUUAGAGAUAUUUAGUCAUAUACCCAUUCUUAGCACUAAUAUUAUAAAUAAACCUUACAUCAUUCAAUUCCUAUAAACAAACCCAAAAAAUAAUAGCUGGCCCUAUUGAAUUUAAUUUUGACUAUUAAAUUACUUUGAUGCCCUAUUGAGUGUUUUGGGCUUUUUUUUAUGAGAUUUUGGAGUUGAGUUUGUUUUAAGAAAUCAAUGGCAAUUUUGUAAUUUAAAAAAAAUUAAAAGGCUUUUUGUUAUGUUGUAAAUAGGUUUCGAGUGUGUUUCUAAAGUCCAUUUCAUAUAGGUUUUUUAUAUAUAAUAAUUUGAACUCCUAUAUUGGGUAUAAUAGUGAAUCUCCAUUUAUUAACUUUUGAGUCUUUAAUAGUGUAGAUGAUGAGAUUAAUAUUCAACCAUUUUAUAAUAUGAAAUUAAGGACAAUCAUGAUUGUAAUGAAUGGAUUAUUAAUCAAUAUGAAAUGAUAUUAUGAAGUAGGCUAAAUGGAGUAGUUAGUAUCGUAUUAACUUAUUAACCGGUUAGCGCUUGAGCCCUCUAAUUCAAAUUAUUUUAUAAAAUUUUGUGAAGGGCCCCUUCUAAUGCAAAUUCCUGGCUGCGCCACUGCCUAUAGCAACUUGGUAAUGUGUGUGAAACAUCCCCUCCUUUUGUCGUUUAAACUAUCGGUUCGCUUGUAUUAAUAAAACAAAAAAUAAAAUAAAAGAUAAAAUUAUAAAUAAAACAAAACACAUAUUAAAGCCUAACUGUUAAUAAUGGAUCCAACAUAAGAUCCAGCCCAAGCCCAUGAAUAAAGCCCCCGAAAACGGUUGGUCCCUCAAUUAAAUUAUUCGUUCAAAUGGUCCAUCAACUCUAUAUUAUUCGCUCCAUUGGUCCUACCGUUAUAUUUUGUCAAUAUUUCUGUUAAAUAUGAGGGCAAAUUGGUCAUUAUUUAUCCUAAAAUUAGGUUAAAUCUAACAUAAAAUUAGACGGUAGGAAUUCGGGGCAGGUCAUGUCAAAAAGCUAAUUAGAGGGGCGAAAUUGACAAAUAAAUUUAAUACAAUAGCUAAAUUGGUUGAAAGAUUAAUUCAAGAUGUAGAUUUCAACAAGUGUGAUAAUUCAUGGGGUAUUCGGUAAUUUACUCCUUUUUUUCCCCUUGAUCUUCUAUAUUCAAGUAAUGGAAAUGUGUUCCACAUUUUCCAUUUAGUUGAUUAUAGAAAAGGAAGAGCAAACAUGAGUUAAGCCCAAGGCACCGAACUUAGGGUCAGUUUGGCAUUGUUAUGCUGUGAAAAUAAUCGUUGUCAGAUUUGCUGUGAGAGAAAAUAGUUUGGCGUUUGGUAAAAUUUUUGUUAAAAGUAUUAUUAGUAUUUAUUUUACGCAUAAUCAGAAAAUGAUUGCUGCAUAAUCAUUAAAUCCAGCGCCUUUUCGAAACUGAUUUUUGCAUAAUCAGAAAAUGAAAGCACAUCAUUAGCUGCUUUCCUUUAUAGCUUUCUCUCACAUCAAUUUUUAACAAUAAGUGAUUUUCUCACAGUUUACCAAAUGGAUUGGGCUUCUCAAAAUUUUAAAAAAAUCACUUAUCACCCCAAAUAAGUAAUGCCAAACGGGCACUUAGACUUCUCACCAACGUGAGGAAGAAAAAUAUGACAAAUUGAUAUAUUUAAUACAAGCUCAAACUGUGCACAAAUUAAUAUAUGCAACGGAAGCCCAAGAUUAUUUCUGAAGCACAUAAUUUCCGCAAAAUCUACAAAGUGGUGGGAGGCAGACCAACAAAAAAAAGUAGCGAAGGCUUAUAACUCUGGUAAAACAAGAGUGACUUGGACAGAAUAAUGUUAUGUCGUACUGAAGAUUUUUGGGUUUCUUUAAUUGGUUAAGUUUAUAUACCUUCAUUUGAAGAUUCUUUAUUUGGGUUGCUUUCAAGAUGAAAACCAUAUCCACAACCACAACCACAACUGGCAGACAAUCUUUGGCUGUUCAUCACAAUUGGGCGACAAUGAAGAAGACAGAAAUUGGAGUAAUGUAUGUUACCAGCAAUCCACGAGAAACUGACAUCUGCAAGCUUUCGUAAUAUAAGGAGGAUGGGGAGGCCGUGCAAUACUUAUCACCUUAGCCACCACCUACACCACAAGACCAAUAUGUUGUAGGCCAGGAGGCUUUCCAAUUUUAAUAUAUAUAUAUAUAUAUAUAUAAAAGUAAAGUGACAAAGAAAUUAAUGUAGGGUAAAGGUAGAAUAGAAAAGAGAAUGAACAAAAUUAAUAAAAAAAAGUUUUAAAAAGUAAAAGGGAGUGUAGAUGGAGAAAAGAGGAAUGGGGAAAUUAGCUCCCUAUAUAUAUAUAGAUUGAAAAAUUAAAAUUAAAAUCAAUCUAUUAUCUUAUAUAUUAUAAAAUAAAGAUUAUUGCUCCAAGGAAAUGAGAUCUUUUGUUUUCUGGGAAUUUUCUGAACCAAGAAGAAUCAAGUAAAAUUAAUAAAGCAUAAAUUGGAAAGGGAAAAGAUCCAGAGGAUGCAUUGUAAGAUUGCUGAUGCCAAUAAUUGUACCCUCUAAUUUUAUACAUGGACGGGCAUUCAAAUCGGCAAAUCAGAAAUCCAAGCCAAAUCGCACAGGAAAAAAUCGAGUUGACCAAAUAGUCAACAACCAAUCAAAAACCAUACCGGACCAGUUUGGACCGGUUUUGGAUCCAAUUCUAUGUCUUCAAAAACUGAACCAAGCGGAACCGAACCAGUCAAAUUAAAAAAUAUAUAAUUUCAAUAUAUAUUUAUAUUCAAUGCUAUAUUUUUAGUCUCAUAACUAAUAUUUAUGCAAGUUCAAUUUCAAAACAUCUCUCUUUUCUGGCUUUAAUAUUUAUUUUUAUAUAAAAUUAAAUAAUUUAUUAAUUUUCAAGUCAAAAAAAUAAAAUUUUAGUUGAAAUUUGUAUUAAAAAAUUAUUUGAAAAAAAUUAAUUUUAAUAAUCCAGUUCAAAACCAAAUCGGACCGGAACCUAAUCAAAAUCGGUUCAACCUGAACCGGACAGUUUUUGAAUUUUUUUUGUUAAAACCGAACCAAACCAAACCGGACAAAUAGUAUCGGAUUCGGUUCUAAUUUGAGACAAAAACCAGUCCAAACCGGACCGUGCCCACCCUAUUUUUUUUGUUUUCAAGUCUUAGAUGACAUGUCGACCUAAAAUUAUUGUUCCUAGCGGGCUCUCCACCCCCACUCAACCUAUUGUGUAUUAUUAUUUUCAAUAUUAUCUUAAAUUUAACUACUUAUGUCCAUUAUGAUUAGUCAUGUAUUUUAUGGACCAUCCAGCUGUGAGGCUUUAUCUCAAAAACAUUCAGUACCUUUUUCCCGCUUGCAACAAUUGUAUUUGAUUCAGAAUUAUGUCCUAUAUUGGUGGGUGGAGUGUUACUUCUGGGUACCCCUCAUCAUUCGUCUAUAAAAUGGUGAAGCCAGUUGCUACUGUUACCAUAAGAGCCAUCUCCGACUUUCUUUAAUUUCUUGCUUCAUAUCCACUAGCUACAUCUGUUGCCAAGUUAAUUUCAGUCCUAAUGGGGUUUCAUCUCCCACUCAUCUUUGCUCUUCUCAGUGUAAGCUCUGCAAUUUGAUUAACAUUUCCAUUAUCUCUCAUUGUACUCUAUAUAAACGAAAGUUUUGCAUUCCUAUAAUCCUCUCUGAUUUUAUUUACCACAUAAGUGUCGUCCACUAAUUAAUUACACUUUGUGAUUUGAUUUUAAUUAGAGUUCGAAUUAAUGUUGCAGCUAGCAGCGGUGGCACUGGCAAACCAUGCUGCUCAACCAGCAGCUCAACUUUACUGGAACUCCGUCCUGCCGAACACACAGAUGCCAAGAACUAUCAGUGAACUUCUGCAUCUUGGUUUGUGUUAAUCACUUUAGAAUCUUAGAUAUUUUUUCUACCUGCCAUUUUACUAAAAUUUGUUUGACCACAUAUUUAUCGGUUAACUACUGUUUUCCAAUUUAUUAUUAACCUCUACAUGAGUAAUUAUAGUAUGGUACUAGAGUACGUACGGCAACAUAUUCACAAAUGUCUCACUGAAUCUUCAAUCGGCUGAUCACUUAUUUUCCAUUAUGACGUUGAUAUAUAAUUUGCCGACUCCACAAAUGAAGAAAAGAGCACAAAUAUCAUGAAUGCUGUUGGGAAUGGAAAGCCAACUGACCACAAGGGAAAACCUGAAAUAAACGCAUUGUUUAGCGGAUACACAAUUCAAGUACAGUAUGCAGGAGUUCCUAAUUCUGACAAUCAACUCCAGUAUUAUAAAAACAUAACUAUUUUCUUCUUGGGGAAGGACAUGCGCCUUGGCGCAACAAUGAACUUCCAAUUCCCUAGAAAUUCAAACACGGCUACUUUCCUGCCACGCGAAAGUGCUCAAUCAAUCCCCUUCUCCUCUAACAAACUAUCAGAAAUUUUCAAACAUUUUUCAGUGAAGCCAACAUCUGUGGAAGCCAAAACAAUUAAGAAAACAAUCGAAGAGUGUGAAGCUCCAGGCAUUAAGGGAGGGGAAAGAUAUUGCGCCACAUCUUUAGAAUCAAUGGUUGAUUUUAGCACUUCCAAGCUUAGAACAAGAAACGUUCAAGCAAUCUCGACUGAGGUAUUGGAAAAAGGAACUGCCAUGUCCAUGCACAAGUAUACAACAAUGCCGGGACUGAAGAAGUUGGCAGGUGACAAAGUCGUUGUGUGUCAUAAGGAGAACUAUCCCUAUGCUGUGUUUUUCUGCCAUGCAAUAAAACAAACAGCAGCUUAUGUUCUCUCCCUGAAAGGCGAUGAUGGGGUGAAGGUUAAAGCAGUAACCAUCUGCCAUCUAGACACAUCAGAAUGGAACCCAAAGCAUUUGGCCUUCCAAAUCCUCAAAGUUAAGCCCGGAACCAUUCCCAUCUGCCAUUUCCUUUCCACAGAUGCUAUUGCAUGAACAUCACUUAGCACUGUACGUAUAAUAAGCUUGCACCCCUGUAUAAUUAUCUCCCUACUCUACUUAUUUCUGCCUCUUCUGUUGAGAUUUCAAUCAGAACUUGCACACACAAUGCAUCAGCUCACACAAAACCAGAUGAAUUUAAGAAAACAGAAAAAUGCAGAGAAAGAAUGGAUUGGCUACUCAGUAAUGCUCAAAGGUUCGUUGCUAUGCACAAAACAUGGCAGUGCACAAUACUCUCAUUUCUAACGGAACCAUUCCUUUUUACAAUGCUGAGAAUGUGAUCUCAGCCUUACAAUUGAUCCAGCAAUGUAAGCUGGACACUUGUCUUAAAUCUGAGUCAUAUAAGUUUCAUCCAACCAAAAUAUUACAUCUGUGAAAUAAAACUUAAACCAGCAGGAAUUUAUAAUUCGACAUUCCCUUCUAAAUUGUUGACUGGUUUAACACCAAGUAGACCUCUUAAGUAAUUGAAUCGAUCCUUAGACAAAGCUUUAGUGAAUAUGUCAGCUGCUUGCUCUUCGGACUUGCAGUAUCUUAGAUCCACCACACCUUCUUGCAAAGCAUCUCGAAUGAAAUGGUAUAUGCGGUUAAUGUGUUUGGUCUUUUGAUGGAAAACUGGAUUCCUUGUCAUUGCAAUGGCAGAGGUGUUAUCUACCAUUAAUGGAGUUGCCUCUGUUUGCUAUUCUCCAAAGUCUUCAAGCACAAACUUCAACCAUAUAGCUUGAGUAGUAGCUUCACUUACACUAACAUAUUCAACUUCAGUUGUGGAGAGAGCAACACUGGGUUGCUUGACAGAUGCCCAAGAUGACACGCCACUUCCAAAUGAGAAAGCAUAUCUAGAAGUGCUCUUCAUGUCAUCUUGACUCCCACUCCAGUCACUGUCACAGUAUCCAAUUAAUACAACUUCUUUUCCCUUCUGGUAUUCAAUACCAUAAUCAAUUGUGCCUUUGAUAUACCUCAACACCCUCUUAGUUGUUCCAUAGUGUUUCUUUUAGGACAAUGCAUGAAUCUAGCUAAUAAGCUAGCUGCAAACAUUAUGCCAGGCCUUGUAGCUGUUAAGUACAACAAACUUCCCACAAUCUGCCUAUAUUCAUUCUCAUCUGCUGGAUCACUUCCAUCUGCUUUGCAUAAUUUCUCACUUGCCACCAGAGGAGUGCUAACAGGUUUACAUUGUUUUAAGCCAAACUUGCUUAACAGAGUCAAAGCAUAUUUCUUUUGACUUAUGAAAAUACUCUUUUCAGUUUGAAUCACAGCCAUACCAAGAAAAUGAUACAAAAGACCUAAGUUAGUCAUUUCAUACCUUCUCAUCAUCUUAGACUAAAAAUCUGCAAUCAAUUCUUCACUGCUUCCUGUAUACACUAUAUCAUCAACAUAUAUCGAUACAAUGAGUGUUCUAGAGUUUUCCUUGGUCUUGCAAUACAGAGUUGCUUCACUAGAGCUCCUUGUAUAACCGCAGUCAAUAAGAUACGAGUUUAUUUCCUCAUCCCAUGCUCUUGGCGCCUGUUUUAGACCAUACAGAGCUUUCUUUAGUUUGUACACUUUGUCUUUAGAGUUCUUAAUCACAAAACCAUCUGGCUGGUCCACAUAUACUUCUUCCUUAAGCACACCAUUCAGAAAAGCAGACUUGACAUCCAAUUGAUACAACUUCCACCCCUUUUGAGCUGCCAAUGCAAUAAAAGUUCUAAUGGUGUCUAAUCGGACUCUGCACCCCUCUCGAUUGAAAACCUAUUGUGUAAAUCUUCAAUCCUAAACGAUGCACCUAAAACACAUGUUGCAAUACACAUCCACCCAUUCUCAGGCCAAUUAUUGCUCAUAGUGGGCUCCCGACCCCCUCUCAAAUUUAAGUGGUCCAUUAUUCUUAACCACAUAUUUUAUGGACCAUCCAGCUGUGAGGUUUUGUCUCAAAAACCUUCGGUACAUUUCUCCCACAUGCCACAAUUGUAUAUUCACAAUUACGUCUGAUACAUCACAUCAUGCCACUUGCCUCAAAUGAAUUUAAGUGAGUGAGGCAGUUGGAAGUAAUUAAGCUCUAUAUUGGUGGGUGGAGUGUUACUUCUGGGUACCCCUCAUCAUUUGUCUAUAAAAUGGUGAAGUCAGUUGCUACUGUUACCAUAAGAGCCAGCUCCGACUUUCUUUAAUUUCUUGCUUCAUAUCCACUAGCUACAUCUGUUGCCAAGUUAAUUUCAGUCCUAAUGGGGUUUCAUCCCCCACUCAUCUUUGCUAUUCUCAGUGUAAGCUCUGCAAUUUGAUUAACUUUUCCAUGCUCUCUCAUUGUACUCUAUAUAAACGAAAGUUUUGUGGUCCUAUAAUUCUCUCUCGAUUUUAUUUAGUACGUACUUAAGUGUUGUCCACUAAUUAAUUACACUUUGUGAGAUUUGAUUUUAAUUAGAGUUCGAAUUAAUGUUGCAGCUAGCAGCGGUUGCACAGGCAAACAAUGCUGCUCAACCAGCACCUCAACUUUACUGGAACUCCGUCCUGCCAAACACACAGAUGCCAAGAUCUAUCAGUGAACUUCUGCAUCCUGGUUUGUGUUGAGCUCUUUAGAAUCUUAGAUAUCUCUUCUACCUGCCAUUUUACUUAAAUAUGUUCGACCACAUAUUUAUCAGUUAACUACUGUCAUUACAUGAGUGACACAUAUUCACAAAUCGGCUGAUCACUUAUUUUCCAUUAUGACGUUGAUAUAUAAUUUGCAGACUCCACAAAUGAAGAAAAGAGCACAAAUGACGUUGGCAAACCUGAAACUUUCCCAUUGGGCAAUCAAAAUUACUCCAGUCAAAAAAAUUAUGGAACAGGCAAUAAACGUUACUGCAGUCAAAAAAGGUAUGGAAGAGGCAAGAAACGUUACUGCGAUCAAAAAAAGUAUGGAAGAGGUGCUUCUCCAUCUGACAAUCAACUACUCCAUUAUAAAGACUUAGCUAUUUUCUUCUUGGAGAAGGACAUGCGCCCUGGCACAACAAUGAAGUUCCAAUUCUCUAGAAAUUCAAACACGGCUACUUUCUUGCCACGAGAAAGCGCUCAAUCGAUCCCCUUCUCCUCUAACAAACUACCAGAAAUUUUCAACCAUUUUUCAGUGAAGCCAACAUCUGAGGAAGCCAAAACAAUUAAGCAAACAAUCGAAGAGUGUGAAGCUCCCGGCCUUAAGGGAGAGGAAAUAUAUUGCGCCACAUCUUUAGAAUCAAUGGUUGAUUUUAGCACUUCGAAGCUUGGAACAAGAAACGUUGAAGCAAUCUCGACGGAGGUAUUGGAAAAAGGAGCCACCAUGUCCAUGCACAACUAUACAACAAUGCCGGGACUGAAGAAGUUGGCCAGUGACAAAGUCGUUGUGUGUCAUAAGCAGAACUAUCCCUAUGCUGUGUUUUUCUGCCAUGCAAUAAAACAUACAGCAGCUUAUGUUCUCUUCCUGAAAGGCGAUGAUGGGGAGAAGGUUAAAGCAGUAACCAUCUGUCAUCUAGACACAUCAGAAUGGAACCCAGAGCAUAUGUCCUUCCAAAUCGUCAACGUUAAGCCCGGAACCAUUCCCAUCUGCCAUUUCAUUUCCACUGAUGCUAUUGCCUGGGUUCCGAACCACAAAUCUGCAUGAUCAUCACUUAGCACUGUACGUAUAAUUAUCUCCUUACUUAUUUCUGCCUCUUCAUCAUGUGGUGUAAGAUAUAUGAUGAGAUGAAGUUUUUGGGAUUAGUGGUUGGGUUGCCUGAAAAACACAGAUUACAGAAACUGCUUGAAAUUAACCCGAUCAUGUUUUCUCUUGUAACUAUAUAGACUUCAACUUGUACUCAUAAUAAAGCAUGCUAUAUUUAUGAAGAGAUAUUAAUCUAUAUAUAUUUUUUAUAUAUGCUUUGGCUUUGUGGUUCUACCCAAUGUUUGAGUGUUGAAUUGUUACGUUGGAAUAGGCUGCUAAUGCAUGUAGUUAGAGAAGCCUUCAUUUAUAUCAAAGUCCUCAAACUAUCAAGAACUAAUGUAUCCAGAAACAUAUACCAAGACGCAAAACAACAUAUUUUCCAUGCUCUGUCUGUAACACCAAAGCAAACUUCCUUGAUCACAAAAGGAUCAAAUUCCAGUACUAAUCUAAUCCAUCAUGUAAAGCAUACAAGUGCCUCCCUAAAUACUAUACUCUUUUUGUUAUUUCCUACUAUACUAUUUAAGAUUUAAAAUUCAGGUCAACCCAUAGAUUUCUCGCCUUUUUCUUCUUCAUCUCGUCGGGCUUGUCUUCUUCUUGAGGAUUGUAUAGGCCAAGGAAAUGCUUUGAGUUAGUUUUUGCGCUUUUGCGUUUUGGGCCUUGGAAGUUGGGACCCAAACCAACUUCACAAAAAGAAAACGCUCAGACUAUAAUGAGUGGAAAGUUAUAAGGGGUAAGUUAUAAGGAGUUCACUUUAUAGCCAUCAGAUCAAUCUAAGGGCUGGGGAGAAUUGAGAUAAAGUUUUAAAAUCGGGUAGGUGAGGAACCCAAACCCGAAUUGAAUAUCCAGCACGUCCGAAAAAGAAGAAGAAGAGGCAAGCACGUCCGAAAAAGAAGAAGAAGAGGCAAGGUCGAAGUUUGAACAGAAAAAACUCAUCUCUUUAAAACCCAUAGCUCUGAGAAACGGUUGAAGGCAACGGUUAACGACGGUUGUUGAAGCCACUCCGUUCUCCAGACCCUGAAAAAGUAUUUAUUUUGAGUAGAAGGGGCAAAUGUGUGGAUUCCGAAACAGUGAAGGGGCGAAGCAGUGGAAGGGGAAGGAGAGAAGCCGUAUUCGUUGGAAGUGGUAGGUUCCAUUUGUGGAGCAAAGCAACACAAAGACCCCGCACAGACACCUUGCGAUUGUUCAAUAACCAGCAUUUGGUGAGUAAUUUAUGGAAUUUGAGUUUAGGGUUAGAGUAAUGGUUUUCCCCAAUUUGUACCAUCAAUUUUGUUGGAUUUGGCAUCUCUUCUUUGUGCUUCAGUUGCAUGUUAAUUUUUGCUUGGGUAUAUGUUAAAAAAAGAAUGAAAAUCAAGUCAAUAACAAGUGAAUAACAUGUCAAUAAUGAUAUGAAUAAGAUAAUGGUGUUGAAUUGGAGGAGGCCCUCAAAACAUUCCACAUUUGAAGCAGUGCAUAGUGCAGAUUAUCUCUCUGGCGCUAGAAUAUAUAUAUAUUUUGAAAUAAAUAUGAUUUCCUUUGUUACUAAAUUUGCCUGAGAAACAUGAGAACAGAUAAUAAUAAACUCAUGAAUAGAAGUGCAAAGCAUUUGAUGAGUAAUUUAUGGAAUUUGAGUUUAGGCCCAGGAAAUUCCUUGACCCCAAAAAAAAAAAAAAAGUUGAUUUAAAAUUCAGGUCAACCCAUAGAUUUCUCGCCUUUUUCUUCUUCAUCUCGUCGGGCUUGUCUUCUUCUUGAGGAUUGUAUAGGCCCAGGAAAUGCUUUGAGUUAAUUUUUGCAUUUUUGCGUUUUGGGCCUUGGAAGUUGGGACCCAACCCAACUUCACAAAAAGAAAACAGAUUUGCCAAAAAUCAAAUUUCAAGUCUCUCCUCCGAUCGAAAUUUGGAUUUGAUGAACUAAAGUGGUUUUACUUUCUCCAUCAGUGUUUGAUAACUUAAUUUGUUAUUUACUUUUUUUUUAAAAAACUUUGGCUUAUAUAUAUUAGUUUUCUUUUUUCCUUCAUAUUCACCACCUUUAUGUUGCAUAAGUAUUUCAGUCUUAAUGGGUUUCCAUCUACCACUCAUCUUUGCUCUUCUCAGUGUAAGCCUUUUUUUUUUUUUAAAGCACAAGAUUAGAGGGGAGGGGGAUUUCUCAAUGUAAGCUUUGCAGUUUCAUAAUUAAUAUUUCCAAUAUCUCACUGUUAGUAAAAUACAGAAAAAGUACUAAUAACAUAUGCACAUGUUACUAAUUUAUUGAGAUAAAACACCAUUUUGCCCCUAGAAUAUUUUAUUAGGUUUAAAGUUGACUUUUUGACCAGGAAGGAAUUUGGGUAUUUAGACUAUAUCGUUGCGUAGAGCAUGGCGAGAUGAGUCCGUAGACACAUGAUUGGCUCGAAUCAGAGUUAUAAUGAGAGAGAUACGAUCAAAAUACCCUCAGUGGUAUAACCGUAAUUUUGGCUUAAAGGGUUUGAUAAAAUAUAAUUUUUCUUUCUUUCUUUCUCUCUCUCUCUCUCUCUCUCUCUCUCUCCUCUCUCUCACGACGGCAGUGAUAGCCGGCCACUUUUUGGCCAGCCAUGCUCUCGUCCGGCCACUAAAGUUGACGGGGCCGGUACCAAAAUGACCGGGCCACCAUCCUUUUCCAACCCCAGCCAGGCCCCACUGCCAGCAGUCGUGAUUUUGCUGAAAAAUGGAGAAGAAGCGGCCGAUUUCGUUCGAACUUCUCCGACUUCGUUCUCUCUCCUCCGGCCACCGAUUUCGAUGAAUGAGGUAUGGUUUCUCACCUACUUUUUAUGCUCUAGCUGCCUGUUGGGUAGGAUUCGAUCAAUUCCUUGCGUAGGUAGCUUGAUUUUCGAAUUGGAUUUCGGCCGGUUUUGGGAUCUCGAUUCCGGCCACUUCCGGUCAGUUUUUGGGGUACAUCCCAAAACAAAAGUGGUUCUAAAUAGGGUGUUAUACCUAGGGUAGGAACCUUGAACCGUAAUUUUGAGAAUUUUCGGUGAUGCCUAAUCGCUUUGGACACCUACGCUAUGCCUGCGUGUGGGCACUAUAGAAAAAGGGCAUUGUGUCCCGAUGCAAUCCCCUUGUUGUCUUGAGCGCGUAGGUGUGCUCGGAUUUCAAUUUGGAUACCGUUUGAAUCUCGAACGAAUAUCGCAUAUUGUGCGUUAUUCGGGGUCGAUAGGUUUGAACUGUUGGAUAGUCUUAGAUUUAUAAUAUGUUAAUCUAGACAUUCUUAGGAUCGAAUGGGAUUAAACGGAUCGUAAAACGGAGUCCCGGAUACUCCAAAAAUGCCAACCCUAGGGCUAGGUUCCUAGUAACCGUCCGAUCGUGCGAUCGUGAGCGAUCCGACCGUUUGAUCCGAACCAAACUUGCAGGACGUGUAUCCUAAACCUUGUAGAACCCAUAGGAACUUUCGGAUUAGAAUUUGGAGGUCGUGGGCCCCUUGGGCCGUUUGACUAAGUUUGGGUAGUUUGACCCUUGGCUGAUCGUGAGUCUUCAGAGGUCUUGAGCGUUGUUGAGCUAUGUUGACUAGGUUUAGACUUUUAGAGUGUUUAUUAUUAUCAUAGGAAACUAUUAGAUAUUAUUUUAAUAAUUGAAAUUAUCAAAUUUAUGUUUAUGUGCAUGAUUGUUGGUCUAAAAAUAACAUUGUUUUCUUGAUAAAAUUACGUUGCAGUCUACUAUAGACUGGUAUCACUAAAUGGAGAUUACCUCUAUUAUUAGUUUAGAUAAUUAAGAGUAUGUCAGUUUGAAGUGCUAUAUGCACUACCCUAAGUACCACCCUGUGAUUGUUAGGUCCCAUGUGGUGUAGAUUAUACAGCGUCAGGACAGACCCCAUACGUGGCUUUGGAUGUUCUGGCGCAUGGGGGAGAUUAUGUAAUGGUUAGGUCAUACGUGGCGUAGGUUAUUCAGCGUGUUGACAGACCCUAUACGUGGCGUUGGAUGUUCCAGUAUGGAAAGAUUUUGUGAUUGUUAGGUCCCACGUGGCGUAGAUUAUCCGGCGUGAGGACAAACCCCAUUCGUGGCUUUGGAUGUUCCUGCGUAUGGGGGAGAUUAUGUGAUGGUUAGGUCACACGUGGCGUAGGUUAUUCGGCGUGUUGGCUAACCCCAUAAGUGCCGUUGGAUGUAACGACCGGUCCUAAAUAAAUUAGUGAAUAUUAAUUUAUUCAGAGAAAAUACCAUUUUGCCCAUAGAGUAUUUUAUUAGGUUCAAAGUUGACUUUUUGAUCAGAAAGGAAUUUGAGAAUUUCGAUUAUACCGUUGCAUAGAGCACGGCGAGAUGAGUCCGUAGACACGUGGUAUGCUCGAAUCGAAGUUGUAACGAGAGAGAUACGAUCAAAAUACCCUCAGUGGCAUAACCGUAAUUUUGGCAAAAAGGGUCGAUAAAAUCAUAUAUAUAUAUUUUCUCUCUCUCUCUCUCUCUCUCUCUCUCUCUCUCUGCGAUAUUGUCCCUCUCUCUCUUUGAUUCACUGCCAUCUGCCCACGGCAGGACUUGAGACUGGUCACGUUUGAACCGGCUCGAUGUCCCGAUCACGUCGCACCCAAAAUGCAAAUGGAAACCUUGAAUUCCAGCCACGGCUUCGACUGGUUUGAACUGGGUUUUUCCCGGCGUUGCGCCACCGCCUCCGCCGCCCAAUUCCGGUGAAACAGGUAUAAUUCCUCACCUAUUUUUCGAGAUCCAGCUGUUGUUGUGUAGGAAUUAGACGAUUUUCAUGUUUAGGAACUCGAUUUAGAAUUUAGGUUUUGGUCGAAUUUUCAAAGUGAAAUUUCGGCCACUUCCGCUGGUUUUUCGGGGUAUGUCUAAGAACAAAAGUGGUUCCAAAUAGGGUGUUAUACCUAGGGUAGGAACCUUGAGCUGUGAUUUUGAGAAUUUCCGGCGAUGCGUAUUCGCUUUGGACACCCACGCGCCGACAGCGCGUGGGCACUGUAGAAAAGGGGCAUUGUGUCUCAAUGCGAUCUGCUUGUUGUCUUGAGCUCGUAGGUAUGCUCGAAUUUCAAUUUGGAUACUGUUUGAGUCUCGAACGGAUAUCGCAUAGUGUACGUUAUCCGGGUUUGAUAGGUUUGAACCAUUGGAUAGUUUUGAAUUUGAUAUAUGUUAAUCUAGGCAUUUCUAGGAUCAUGUAGGAAUUCAGGGAUCAUGAAUCAGAGCCCCGGAUGUUCCGAUUUAAUAACUUAAAGUUUAUGUUUAUAAUAACUAUCAGAUCGUGCGAUCGUGAGCGAUCCGACUGUCUGAUCUGGACCAAACUUGCAGCACGUAUAUCCUAAACCUUGUGGAACAUAAAAAAAUUUCGGAUUAGAAUUUGGAGGUCGUGGGCCCCGUGGGCCCAUUUAACCAAUUAUGGGUAGUUUGAUCCUUGGUUGACCGUGAGUCUUCCGAGAUAGUUUUACCUUCCUAGGAGGAUUAUAAUGACCCUAGUGAUAGGUCUUGACCGUUGUUCAGCUAUGUUGACUAGGUUGAGACUUCUAGAGUGUUUAUUAUAUUAUUGUAGGAAACUCUUAGAUAUUAUUUUAAUAAUUGAAAUUAUGAAAUUUAUGUUUAUGUGCAUGAUCGUUGGUCUAAAAAUAAUAUUAUUUUCCUGAUAAAAUUACGUUGCAGUCUACUAUAGACUAGUAUCACUAAAGUGGGAAUACCUCUAUUAUUAGUUGAGAUAAUUGGGAGUAUGUCAGUUUGAAAUGUUAUACCCUAAGUACUACUCUAUGAUUGUCAGGUCACCCGUGGCGUAGGAUUUUCCGGUGAGAUGACAGACCCCAUACGUGGCGUUGGAAUUUCCAACGUAUGGAGAGAUUAUAUGAUUGUUAGGUUUCACGUGGCGUAGGAUUUUUCAGCGGGAUGACAAACCCCAUACGUGGCAUUGGAAGUUUCAGCGUAUGGGGAGAUGAUAUGAUUGUUAAGUCACACGUGGCGUAGGUUAUUUGGAGUGCUGACAGACCCCAUACGUGGCGUUGAAAUUUCUGGCGUAUGGAGAGAUGAUAUGAUUGUUAGGUCACUUUGGAUGUUCUAGCGUAUUGGGAGAUUAUGUGAUUACCAGUGAGAUGAAUAAAGGAUUGUUAUGUUAUAUUGGGAAAAACAUGUUUGUAGAAAGAAUUACGUGUGGCUUGAUCCCUCAGUAAGGGUACGUAGGCAGCCUAGGGUAGUGCCUUGGUGCAGUCGCUGACUAAACAUUAUAAUGUUGUUUUUAGGUUUGAUUAUAUGGUAUUAUGGGGCAAGGCCCCUAGGACUAUUGGUGAUAAUUCAUAGAUGGUAGUGGAUGCAUGCUAGAAAUUUGUAGGAAGUUAUUUCAUGUGGAUUGCAGUGGUACUCGUAAAAUUUAUUUGAGUUCCUUAAUUGCAUUGUUAAUAUAUUAAUUUACUUAAGAGUACUGCUAGUAGUUCUGCCUUGAUUUAUUUGAAGGCUGGAGGCCUUGUCUGGAAACUGUGUGCAAUUAGAUUGUGUGUGCUGGCAGUUGACUUUUUAAAUUGUGAAUUUUGUGCAGGUUGAAAUUUGGGAAAUGUUCAAUUUACAGGGGAGACUCUGCUGAAAUUUCGGUAGAAAGUCUUGUGCCCUUAUUCCUUUUUGGGGAAAAGGAUAUAGUUUUAGAAGUGGCGAUGUCGGGAAUUUCCACAGGAUUCGUCUCGGGUUUCGGGAAAUUCGGGGCGGGUCUGAAAAAGUUGUUUCAGUUUUGGCAAGUAUCGGAAAAGACCAAAAUUUUCCGACUUUAUUAUUACUAGAAACAAGGUCGAAGUAUUUACCAAUCAUGUGGCCUUCCAAGUGCUCUAGGUUAAGCCAGGAACCGUUCCUAUCUGCCGUUUCCUUCCCAACUAUGAUCAUGUUGUCUGGGUUCCAACCCACAAAUCUACAUUGGGCUACGUAUUUGAAUUUGUACUAAAGCGUGAUCUAUAGUAUGCAUAUAUUGGAUAAGUUUGAGAUCAGUGGCUUGGGUGUCCGCUGAGCUUGAACAAGUUUGGGUGUGCUGAGUGUUUCCAUGGGUGUGUUGAUGAUCAUGGUUAUUAGAUUUGUGAUAGUUUGGGCUCAAUUUCAACAGAACUCAUCUCAAGCCUAGAUAGUUGAUUCUUAAGUUUAUCAGGAAAAAAAAUUAAAAAUUAAAAAAUCUAAAGUUAAGCCCAAGGCGCCGAACUUGGACUUCUCACCAAACUGUGCAUAAAUUGAAAUAUUUAAUAGAAGCCCAAGAUUUUUGAAGCACAUAAUAUCUACAAAAAUCUACAAAGUGUAAUACUUUACAAACUUCUUAUGUGUACCAAUUUCUGCUCAAAUUAAUUUCUCUGUGGUGCUGAGAUUCAUCAUAAUUUUAGUAGAAAUUGGAAGUUUUCAUCAUUUUUGCUUUAAGUCUCUCCUCCACUCACUAAUAAAGAUUACUCAAGUGAGUUUACAAAACAUUUUUUUUCUACUCUCUCCUGAAGACUACACAUCUUCUCAAAAGAUUAGAUCACUUCACAUCUUGUAUAUGUGAAAACUAAUGCAAAAAGUUGAAACUUUAUCAUAAAACCUCGACAAAAAUUAGCUCUACUUAGAACAUUAAAUUUGGAUUCGUUGAUUUAAAUGGCAAUUUGACACUUCAUAGAAAUUUUUACAUACAUGUGUUAGUGUUUGAUCACUUCACUUAUUACUUACUAUAUUUAUUCCAUGAUUCUCCCUCAAGUUAUGUAAAUAUUAUUAUCAAACAUUUCAAUUCAUUUGUGAUAUUUCUUGUCCAUCUUUCAAUGUACCCUGAAAUCCAUUAGCCACAUAUGAUGACCAAAAUCCACACUCUGUUGUUUGCAAACGUUCAAUAUACGACUUGCAUCCACAGUCCUGACCCAAAUGAAAUGCGGAAACUGUCAAGCUAACUGUAGGGAGGACUAUAUUUGAUUUUACCUUAAAGACUGAUCCGAAACCACCUUCUCCAAGUUUAUUGUUGUUUGAAUAGUUUUUGGUUGCACAAACAACAGCGGCCAAGUCAAAUAAUGGCAAUUCCAGAUCUUCCUUUUGGCCGGGCUUCAGUUCUCCUGUGAAGUACGUAGUGAAGUAAAUAAUGUAGCAUGGAACCUUAGCUUAGAAACCAGAGAGGCAACAGCAAAAAUUUUCUAUAGAACUGAACCUACCUAUCUUAGAAAAUGAAGGGGCAGAAGAGUAGAAAAUCAAAUAGCUUACCAUAUUUUUGUUGCUGGUUCUUCCUCACAUAUAAUAGCAGGGUAAGGCCCAGGGUCAGCAGUCCAGUAGACAACACAGUACUGGUUACUAUGAUCUUUGUAUUGUGUCCUUGAUCUAGGAAUGAAGUAUUUGAAAGCAGAAGAUUGAGGAGUCAGAAAUUCAUAAAGAAAAAAUCUCUACUUUUUAUCAUCCAACGAACAAUUAAUGCUAGUUUCUGAGACAGUUCUAAAGAAAUAUUUUUCUAACAAUGUCAAAAGUUUUCUGGCUCUAUCUUGUUUCUAAUCAUGUCACUGUUGGAAGAUUUCUUUCUUCUUUUUUCCUUGGUGGCUUUUAUUUUUCUUUCAAACUUUGUUUUAAACAGCAAGAUGAUUCCAUACCUAGUUCUGACGAAGCCAUUCUUAUGUAAAUAUCUUGCCCAUUUAUAUUGGAAUAUCUUAUAUCAACCAGAUCGCUGAACCACAGCAAGGACCCCCUUCCUCCAUCUCGGAUAUCCAAAUUUGAAAAAGCGGCGCAGGAGCAGUUGUUCAUGCACAUCAUCUCACAUUCCUUGAGGUUCAUAAUUGUGUUAUACUAGGAUUGUUCUGUACUUUAUUUCACCCCAGUGUACUUCUUAAAGAUGUCUCCACUGCAAUUCAGUUGGCUCUUUCUCACAGAUCUAUAUGACCAAUCCACCAAGUCCCAGUCUUGUUGAAAGUCGGUAUAAAUCCUUUCAAGCAGCUACGUACUGGGGACUUGUCAAUACAACAUGCACCAUUCGGACCACAUAUUCCAUAUUUGUCGCAGAUAUCAGUCGUUGCUCUUAGAUAAACAACCCAACCUUGGUUUCCAUCACUCCCGAUGUAGCUCAGCCCAAAUCCAUCUUGAGUUAACGCCAGCCUGAAAAGAGUUGAGCUGUUGAGAAGCUUAUAACCAUAAUAUACUUCAUCAUCAUUAUCCAACACAAAAUCAUAUGUUGGAUUUAAAUUAUGCAUCCCACUAAAUUGGAUUCCAUUCCAUGGUGCAGUCCGAUAUUUUAUAACAGAACCCUCCCUCAGAAUUAAUUCAUGGUACCCAUAAGGACCAAGUUGAUAUGGGUAAUGUCCUUGAGAAGGAUCCUGGGGGCUUUUCCAGGGUGUAAGAUGCCAAUUAAAACCUGUGAUUUUGUUCCUAACAAGCUUCAUACCUGGUAUUAAUGUAUCUCCUGGGUAAUCAAAACUCUGCCAUAAAAUAUUAUCAGAGUCAUUACGACCAUUGCCAUCUAUCACAACAAGAUUUCCGGAAUCCAAAAUCUGUGCCACUGGAUUCUAUGAAGAACUUGAUGUGUUGGAAGACCUGUAGUGUUCUUUGUUGAAUAUUUGGAUUGCAAAGGGAGCAAGAAAUGUACUGAGAGAGAAAGAGAGAGAGAGAGAGAGAGAGAGAGAGAGAGAGAGAGCAGUGAGCCUUAGAUUGUUCUAACAGUUUUCUUACUCUGCAUGAACAUAGCAGCAGAGCUUAUAUUCCUUCAUGACUGUUACAUGUUCUCUCUUACAUCAGUAGAUUCAAAUCUAACGGUUUGUAAUAGUAAGCCAAUGUGAGUAUGACACAUGGCAAUACACAGCUGUCCUAACAGCUGGGAAUUCAAAACAGACUCUAGCAUUGCACCUGGCAUAUAAGCACAAGGCACUCAGCUAACACAAAGAUUAAAAACAGAUUGAAUAUAAACUGACAUAGAACUUACUAACUAAUCUGAAAUUAGCUAGACAGUUUACAUUUUAACACUCCCUUCUAAAGUGCUAGCUGAUUUCACUCCAAGCAUUCUCCUCAAAUAGUCAAACCUGUCUUUGGGAAGAGCUUUGGUGAAGAUAUCAGCAAUCUGCUCUUCUCCUUUGCAGUAGAGCAGUUCAAUCACUUCUUCUUGUAUUGCAUCUCUAAUAAAAUGAAACUUCCUUUUAAUAUGCUUGCUCCGUUGAUGAAAAACAGGAUUUUUAGCCAUUGCUAUGGCUGAAGUGUUGUCACAAAACACAGUUGUUGCAGUGGUCUGUUCUUCCCCAAAAUCUUCAAGAACAAACCUGAGCCAAAUGGCUUGUGAUGUAGCUUCUGCUGCACUCACAUACUCUGCCUCUGCAGUAGAGAGAGCCACACUGUGUUGUUUGACUGAUGCCCAUGAAAAAGCACCACUUCCAAAUGAAAAUGCAUAUCCAGAAGUGCUUUUCAUAUCUUCCUCAGAUCCACUCCAGUCACUGUCACAGUAACCAACUAAGAGUGCAGAUUUUCCUGUCACAUACUCAAUUCCAUAGUCAAUUGUGCCUUGUAUGUACCUUAGAACCCUUUUAGCUGCCCCAUAGUGCAUCUUAGAAGGGUUAUGCAUGAAUCUUGCAAGCAGGCAGGCAGAGAACAUGAUAUCUGGCCUGGUUGCAGUAAGGUACAGCAGGCUGCCUACAAUUUUUCUGAACAAACUUUCAUCUGCAGCAUCACUUCCAUCCUCUCUUUUCAAUUUAUCAGUAGCCACUAAUGGAGUGCUUACUGACUUGCAGUCUUUGAGUCCAAACUUAUCCAAGAGAGUGAGAGCAUACUUCUUUUGAUGAAUGAAGAUGCUCCCUUCAGUUUGUGUUACUCCCAUACCAAGAAAAUGGUGGAGUAAACCCAAAUCAGACAUCUCAUACUUGCACAUCAUUUCAGCUUUGAAUUCUUUCAUCAUUUCAUCUCUACUUCCUGUGUACACUACGUCAUCUACAUAGAUUGACACUAUUAGUGUUCCCACCUUCCUUUGUUCUCACAUAGAGAGUGGCUUCACUUGGACUUCUGUGAAAACCACACUGAUUCGAGUAGGUGUCAAUUUCACUAUACCAGGCCCUUGGAGCCUGCUUCAACCCAUAGAGGGCUUUUCUUAACCUAUACACCUUAUCCUCAUCAUCUUUAACCACAAAACCAUCCGGUUGAUCAAUAUAAACUUCUUCUUCAAGGACACCAUUUAGGAAGGCUGACUUGACAUCCAAUUGCCAUAGUUUCCAGCCUUUCUGAGCAGCAAGAGCUAUGAGAGUUCUAAUGGUGUCUAACCUUGCUACAGGAGCAAAGGUUUCAUUGAAAUCAAUCCCUGGUUUUUGUGUGUAUCCCUUGGCAACAAGUCUUGCUUUAUGUUUUUGAAUGGAGCCAUCAAGAUUAAGCUUAAUUUUGAAUAUCCACUUCACUCCCACAAUUGGUUUACUACUUGGCCUGUCAACCAAUUCCCAACUGGAGUUUUUCUCUAUCAUAAGUAUCUCCUCAGUCAUAGCCUUCCCCCAAGCUUCAUCUUUGACUGCUUCUUCAAAAUUUUCAGGUUCAAUGAUGCUCAUCUUGCAUUGAGCAUACACUUCACUCAAACUCUUCCAUUUCUUUGGGGUGUUAUCAUAAGUUUCUAAUGGAGCAGAGUCUUGAGUAGCAUGCACAUCAUUACUUGUUUGUGUUUCCAUAGGAGACUGUACAAUCUGUUGCUGUAACAGAUUUGGUUAUGAAUCCAAAUCUGAUACAAUUGAACUUACUCCAUCACCCCAAGACAUAGGGAUUUGCAAUGCCUCAUUGGUUUCCCAAUUCCACAUUGCUUCUUCAUCAAAAAUAACACUCCUAGACAGCUCAAUCUUUUGAGUUCUCAAGUUGAGCACUCUAUACCCCUUUUCACAUACACCAUAUCUUACAAAUACUCCCUUCUCACCUGUGUCUUCCAGCUUGUGCCUUUUCUGUGUGGGGAUGUGAAUAUAGCAUAGAGAACCAAAUAUUCUCAAAUGCUUGACACCUGGUUUUCUUCCACCGAACUUUUCAAAUGGAGUGGAAUUGUCCAGUGCACUUGUAGGACAUCUGUUCUGCAAAUAUACAGCUGUAUUGACAGCUUCUGCCCAAAACUUCAAAGGGAUUUUCUUCUCAUACAUCAUGGCUCUUGCCAUUUCCAUCACAGUACGAUUCUUUCUCUCUGUAACUCCAUUCUGUUGUGGAGAGUAGCCUACUGNNNNNNNNNNNNNNNNNNNNNNNNNNNNNNNNNNNNNNNNNNNNNNNNNNNNNNNNNNNNNNNNNNNNNNNNNNNNNNNNNNNNNNNNNNNNNNNNNNNNNNNNNNNNNNNNNNNNNNNNNNNNNNNNNNNNNNNNNNNNNNNNNNNNNNNNNNNNNNNNNNNNNNNNNNNNNNNNNNNNNNNNNNNGGUGUGGUCAUCAAUGAAGGUGAGGAAAUAUCUGUUCCCUCCAAGAGUGAUGGUCUGCAUUGGACCACAAAUGUCUGAGUGAAUCAGUUCUAGAGGUUGAGUGGCUCUCCAAGCUCCUUCCUUAUCAAAAGAGCUUCUGUGAUUCUUGCUUUCAGCACAACCUGAGCAGACCUUCUCAUGUUCUUGUAAAUUAGGCAUUCCCUGAACCAUAUCUCUCUCUUGUAACAACUUCAAACUAAUAUAGUUUAGGUGCCCAAAUCUUCUGUGCCACAGCCAGGAUGUUUCUCCAACUGUUGCUCUGUUUGCCAUAGGAGGAUUAACAUAGUCAAGAUUUAAAGGAAAACAUUUGUUUCCCUUCAUUGGCACUCUUGCAAUGCAAUCUUCCAACUGCCUAUCUCCAUAGAUAUCAACUGCAUUAUCACCAAAUACAAGCCAAUGCCCAUGUUCUAUCAUUUGACCUACACUUAGCAAAUUUUCAUCUAAACUUGGUACAAUCAUGAUUUCUUUGAUAUAUCUAGUCACACCCUUCAUUUCUAUAGCCAAAGUCCCUUUGCCUAUUAACUGCACUAGAUCACCAGUCCCCAUUUUGACUUUACUCUUCAUACUUUUAUCAACAUUUACAAGUAAUGACUCAUGGGAAGUCAUGUGAUUGCUGCAUGCACUAUCAACAUACCACAUAUUCACAUUCUUUCCAAUUGUUGCAGCAUGACAUGCAUAGAACAUAAUGGCAGGUUCAGUUACCUGAUUUGCAAUGUUAGCAAGUUUCCCUGCCUUGUUUGCUUGGUCACAGUCCUUAACAAAAUGACCAAAUCGAUUGCAGCCAUGACACUUUGGUUUUCCUUUAAACCAACACUCACCAUAGUGUAACUUCUCACAAUGUUUGCAUUUUCCAGAUUUGUCUCCUUGACUUGGUUUUCCCCCUUGAUUGGCACUGUUUUGGGGUUUAGAAUCCCAUUUCUUAUCCUUGGACUUCCAAUUCUUCUUUGAUUUAUUAGAGCCAGAACUAGAACUUGAUUGAGAUCCUUUUGAGUUUAUGCUCAUGCUGCUGAAAGCUUUCUCAGUGGUGCUUUCUGCAUGUCUGUCAAGGCGCUGAGCAAAACCUCUUAAUGCUGCAAUUACCUCCUGCACUUCAAUGGUUUCAAUGUCUCUAGUUUGCUCAAUCACAUAGCAGACUGGAUCAAAUUCCUUGGUUAAGCUUAUUAGCAGUUUUUGAACUAUCCUCCCUUUGGUCAGAUCUUCCCCAUAUCCCUUCAUCUGAUUUACAAGCUCAAGUAACCGAGUGAUGUAUCCAGACAAGAUCUCAUCAUCCUUCAUCCUGGUGUACUCAAAAUCUCGACGCAGACCCUGCAACAUGAUGGAUCUGACUUGCUUAUCACCAUGAAACUCCUGAUGCAAGAUAUCCCAAACACCUUUUGAGGUUUCUUCAUUUGAGAUUCUGGGAAAGAUGUCAUCUGAAACAGCACCUUGGAUAAUACCAAGAGCCUUAGCAUCUUUCAUCAACAAGGACACCAUCUCUGAAUCUGAUGACCCUUCUUUAUCAGCUUUUGAAUCUGGAACUUGAAGGCCUUUCUCAACCAAAUUCCAGAUUCCAUGAGAUUUGAAAAUUGUUCUCAUUCGAAUCUUCCAAAACUCAUAGUUCUCCCCAUUGAAUAUUGGAGCUCUAAGAUCACUCCCUCCUGACCCAGCCAUCUGAGACCAGACUCAAUGAGUUGAGAGUAGGAAAUUUCCCGUUGGAUUUCCAGACUCAGCUCCCACAGCUUCAACGCCCUCUAUCCAGAUCCAACCUGCGCACCUGAUACCAUGUUGAAUAUUUGGAUUGCAAAGGGAGCAAGAAAUGUACUGAGAGAGAGAGAGAGAGAGAGAGAGAGAGAGAGAGAGCAGUGAGCCUUAGAUUGUUCUAACAGUUUUCUUACUCUGCAUGAACAUAGCAGCAGAGCUUAUAUUCCUUCAUGACUGUUACAUGUUCUCUCUUACAUCAGUAGAUUCAAAUCUAACGGUUUGUAAUAGUAAGCCAAUGUGAGUAUGACACAUGGCAAUACACAGCUGUCCUAACAGCUGGGAAUUCAAAACAGACUCUAGCAUUGCACCUGGCAUAUAAGCACAAGGCACUCAGCUAACACAAAGAUUAAAAACAGAUUGAAUAUAAACUGACAUAGAACUUACUAACUAAUCUGAAAUUAGCUAGACAGUUCACAUUUUAACAUUCUUAUGGUCGGCAGGGACAAGAAUUCCAGGGCUGCUCAACUUGAAUACACCUGAUGAACCAGUGAGGGGUGUGUUUCUUUUAGUCUGCACUAUAUAUGCAGGGUCUGACUCUAAUUAGAAGAUAAUUGUAUUAAUUUGGUAAAGCUUUGUCUGUAACUGUCUCGCACCUUAAAAAAAUUUCACAAUUAGCAGCAUUGGCAAUACUUGAUUAGAAAGCAGAAACCCUACAGUAUAUAGUUAAGUUGAGUAGCUGGGAAGACAAUUAGUAAGCUUUCAAUACUAAAGUUGAAUAUUGGGGAGACAAAUUACUAGAGCUUCAAGUUCAGAUAAAUAGGAUGAAUUUCUCUUAAGGGAUCCCCUUUCACUGUAGCUUGGAGUAGAAUUCAUUUUGACACAAUAUCAAUUAUCAAUGUAAACACGUUACUGAUGCACUAUUGACAAUAUCGAUGCACGUCAUAUCAUAUUUGUGGGAGUAAAUUUCCUCACGAGAAUAUUUGGUUCAAAAGAUUCCCCUUUUUUUUUUUUUUGCCGCCUCUUUCUCCUUGCAAAAUAGAACAAAUAAGAGGACCACACCCGGGGGGUGUUGGCCAAAGGCCCUCCGAUGCUAAAUUAGUUCAAGUAUUUGUAAGAAAAAUACUAGCUAACUAGGGUACAGAGGUGUAUUUAAGGUGUAAACCGGGCAGCCGAAGUCUUAUGUAAAAGAGAGAGAGAAAGGAGGUGGCUAGCGUUUGAGAGGAAUUUUCUGCAGAGUUUUUAGUAGAGAUUUCAGACGUACCUCAACCAUUGUGUGUGGCCAUCUUUUUAUAGUGGUCUUGGAGGCUAGGGUUUCAGAGGAAUAAUUCCGUAGAUGGAAAGGAAUUAUUCCUCCCCUAUUUGGAAUUGAUUUGAUUAAUUAGGGAUUUGAUUUAUUAGGGUAAAUCAAAUCCCUAAUUGUGGUAGGUAUCAAAUCAAAUCCUUUUUUAAUUAGGUAACUCCUCAUUUAAUUGGGAAUUGUGGUAGGAAUCAAAUCAAUUCUCAACCUAAUUAGGUAACGUUCAAUUUAAUUGGGUAAUUCCCAAUUAAAUUGAGUAACUCCCAAUUAGGUUGAUUAAUUCCCAAUUAGAUCAAAUAAUCCCCUAAUUGAAGGAAUUAUUUGACCUAGGGUCUGAUUUAAUUCGAUUCCCACAAAUGCCCCCCAGCUUCUGCAUGGUGCAUGGUGGCACGUAGGAGAUGUAAAUUAUCUGUUGGGCUGUCCAGCUGUAACUGGGCUUCCUUCGUGGACCUGGGCUCCCGAGUAGAGGAGGUGUUUGACUUGCCAAUUUUAUGAACACCCAAUUGGAAAGGGUUUGAGAUUCCUUGUAGGUCAAGGAAUUUUGCUCCUUAUAAAUGUAGGGCUCCUCCAAAUUAUUCUCGACAUCAGAAAUCUACUCCUCCAAAUUUGUUAGUGAGAGAGAGAAGACUUUGGAGAAUUUUUCAGCGUGCUUGAGACUUCAUCUUUGCAGCCCAUCCAAGGUAAUUUGAUAGGAAGAAUUUUAUUUUGAGUUGCUAUGACUUUUGGCAGCAAGCUGUGAGACUAAGGGCAUGUCUUGAGGUGCGCGCUAGGGCUUUAGGCAUGGCAAGAGACUCGGAAAGGCUAGCAGGUUCGUUUCCACCUACGCUGGGCUCAAGGAGAAGGCAACAGGGCUUCAGGCCUUGUGGAUGAAGUGGGCUUUCGCUGGGAGCAAGAGGCCUGGAGCUGAGGCAAGGAGACAAUGGGCCUGGUACGAGGUGUGGGCUGAGCAUGCCAGCUUUGGAGCAAGGGGGCCAGGACGACUGCUGGGCAGGAGGUGCGCUGGGCUGCAUGCGCGAGCUGCGCCGAGUGCUGGCUGGAGGAGCGAGCUGGGCUGCGCGCUAGGCCAUUCAUGCUGGGCUACUUCCGUUUUUUUUUUGUUUUUUUUUAAAUUUUAUUUGCUGUUGCUGCUUUUUUUUUUGUUUUUUUGUUUUUUUUUUGUUUGGUAUUCUAACUCGUAAUUUUUUUUUUCUUCUUACAGCUACUUGUUGAUCAACCAUGUCUUCCGGAGAUGGUAGCAAGGCUCCAAGCUCUUAGGUCCUUUUGUAUUUAUGGGGAGGCUCCAUAGUGCAUGGCAAGAAGUUUGUGGUCAACUUGCAUCGCGUCACGACUUAUGCUCAGUUCCAGAAGUGGCGGGCCACUUAUGCGUCUGCCAUUCCAGAUGACGUGCUGGUCAAGCUAUUGAAAUCUCAAACUGAUAACGAGCCUUUGGUGGACGUGAGUGAUCAUGAUGCUAGGAUCAUUACCUUCCGUCCUUUUUACUUCUCUUUAGGCUUCAAAUUCCCGUUGUCAAAGCUCUUCAAGAAGGUGUUCUGUGCCAUGGGGUGUGCUCCGAGCCACUGUACUCAUGUGCUUCAAGAAUUUGAGUCGUUUCUUCAUGUUGGAGCUGACGAUGCGAGAGUUCUUUUAUUUUUUUCGAAGUGAGGCACUUUGAGCGGUACGCCCAAGUUCGUAUCUACAAGGCCAAGCUGUUCCACGGUCUCAGUCAAGGAGAUCACGCUUGACAUGAAGAUGUGUUGGAGGUCAGCAGACGGUGGGAGGGUGACGUCGGUGACGGCCCACCUGUUCCCAUCACCUAUUGUGAUGGUAUGUCUCUUUACGAUUUUUGAUAUGCUCCUUUUAUUUGAAUUUCUUGAAGUGUGGCAGACUAACUUCUAUCUUCUGCUCGUAGUGAGUGACAUUAGCAAGCAAUUGGAGCUCCGACCAGACAUGGCUAAGGUCCGUCGUGCUUUGAACAUCCCUCUAAGGUUUCACGAGUGGCGCUGGCUGUUGAGUGAGUACCGGGAGGAAGACGGUGGUUUUCUCCUUGCCGAGGAUGUCGAAAGGUGGAAGCAGAACGAUCCUGACCCUGAUGAUCUGCUUGGCAGACAGGAAGAAUGUUCUGCUUAAUCGCUCUUAAAGAGAAAGGCUGCUGCCAAAUCUUUGAGAUGUGAAGCUACUUCUUCGCAUGCAAAGGAUGGGUCUCCAUCGAGGAAGAAACCAAGGCUCCCUUCUGCUGAGAAGACUCAAGUGGGGUCUGCUCCCUCAUCAUCUGCCAGGGUUAAGCAUCUCGUGGGUGCAGAUAGCAAGAAGGUUGGUGGUAUGCAUGGUACUCGGGGUGUUCUGCCCAAGCUUCCUGCUGACACGCUCGAAAACCAUGAUAUACUUCGUGAAGUGGCUCGUGCCCAACCUAGUUCUGCCAAGCGUCAAAGAGAUGUAGACAUUCCUCCUAGAAGUUCGAGUUGUCUGCAUCGGUCAAAAGAUGGAGACCGAAGCGGGAGGUCUGCUUAUGAUCCAGCAUUAUUGACUCAUUUGGAGAUGAGGUUGGCGAAGGCUAAGAAGGUGAAAGAGUCAUCUGCCCGGGUUAAGGGUUCUUCCUCGGCGUUGGUAGUUGGUCCCAAGAUGAACAAGUCUAGCUCUGUAGGGGAUGCAUGCGUAUCUGAUCUGCUCAAGAUGAACUUCCUAUCAAACCCGUCCUCUUGUGUUGAGUUGGUUGAUCACAUCCCUCAAGCGGGCGAUCUAGGCACUUUCUCGUGCCUUUCCUUAGAAAAAUGAAGGAAAAUGACAUUCCAUCUGAUUCAAAAAGGACUGGUUUUUGCUACUGAGACUAUUUGGAACUCAUCUGCUAUUGCCCCUCUUCUGUCCAACUCAGCGAGUUGGAGAAGAAGAAUGCUGAUUGGCUAGACAGCUUUCCGCCGAGCAGGCCCGUUACGAGAAGAAGAUGUCUGAUUUGAGGGCGAUGAUAUCUGAGCUGAAAAGCUCCCUUACCGAGAAGGAUUUCGAGCUCAACUCUUCUGCUGCUGAUUUGGCUAGUCGAAAAGAUACCUUCUUUCGUCUUGAGCAUAAGAAUGCUGACAUCUUCCUUAGCUAUAACAAACUCCUGGCUAGAUUUCAUGCCUACCAUAAGUCUGCUAAAGAAUCCAAGACAGAUGGAGCUGCUGAAGGCGUAGCCGGUCAGGUGGAUGCCGAAGAGGCUGCAGCUUAAAAGUCUUCUGCUGGCGUCUCAGAGUAGAUGAAGACUCUUUUUUGUUUCUUUUCAGCUUUUGUAGUUUGCUUUAUUGUUUAGAAUAACUGGUCUUAUUUGACCAUCUUCUUUUUGUUGAACUUGGCUGGUUGGUCUGUUUGUUAGGGAAAUUUCAGUUACAUUUUCCAACUUCAAUUUGCAUAUUUGACUUGUGAACUGCUUAAGUAACCAGCCUGUGUUUUGAUUGCACAUCCCCCUUUAGAGAUUUGUGAGUACCAGGGUCCCCCUUGGAGGACUCCGGCCAUGCACAGUAUAUCUCGUAGGAUGGUUCCCCUUAGGAAGUUGGCGAGUACCAGGGUCCUCUUUGAGAGACUCCGGGUGUGUUCUGCACAUCCCGUAUGAUGCCUUAAUCGUCGCCUUGCUUCUCCCGUAGGACGCUGCUUAUAGGCAACUAUAUGACUAUCCUGCCUUUCUUAGGAAACGGAUAGGAACCUGGAUAUUUCCCGCAUGAAGCAUGGAGACCUCCUUUUAAGAAAUUUUUGGUGCACCAUGCUUCUCCCUUAGGACGCUUUUUUCGCAGGCUGGGUCUCCAAAUGGACGCUUUUAGUCGUUGCCCUGCGUCUCCCUUAGGACGCUCCUUAUGGGCAACUGUGUGACUAUCCUGCCUCCCUUAGGAAAUGGAUAAGACUUGAAUAUUUCCCGCAGUAAGCAUGGCGACCCCCUUUUAAGAAACUCCUGGCGUACCCUGCAUCUCCCUUAGGAUGCUUUUUAAGAGGGCUGCUUCUCCAAACGGACGCUUUUAGUCGUUGCCUAUGUCUCCCCUAGGAUGCUCCUUAUGGGCAACUGUGUGACUAUCCUGCCUCCCUUAGGAAACAGAUAGGAAACUAGAUAUCUCCCUUAGGAAAUUCCUAGCGCACCUUGCGUCUCCCGAAGGACGCUUUUUUAGCUGGCUACGUCCCGAAACGGACACUUUUAGUCGUCGCCCUGCGUCUCCCUUAGAAUGCGCCUUAUAGGCAACUGUGUGACUAUCCUGCCUCCCUUAGGAAACGGAUAGGAACCUGGAUAUCUCUCUUAGGAAAUUCCUGGGGCACCUUGCGUCUCCCGAAGGACGCUGCUUAUGGGAAAAUAUUGUGUUUCGUGGGCAGAUGAGACAUUUUGGAAUGAGAAACUGAACUUAUAUUGAUAUUCAUAAGAUUACAGUCCUUUAUUUGAAAAUGGAAAUAACUUGGUUCAAAAACUUAGAACUUCUAGCAGCUACGAGGAAGCACUAUGGAUAAUACUUUCGGAGAUGGUGAGCAUUCCAUUGUCGUGGUAUUUCCUUCCUAUCCAUGGUGUCCAGUGUGUUGCUUCCUCUGCCCCGGACCUGCUGAUCACAUAAACGCCCUCCCAGUUAGGAUUCACUUUUUUUGACCCGUGUCUUGGUGCAGUAAUGAAAGCCUUAGCACGAGGUCGCCUGGUUGAAACUGUUUGACCUUAGCUCUUUUGUCGUAGUAAGACUUCAACUGCUAGUGAUAGGAGGCGACCCGAAUAAUGGUCUUCUCACGCCUGCCCUCAAGUAAGUUGAGGUUGAGCCUCAUCUGCUCGGAGUUCUGAUCAACACUGCCUACCUUAAGACUUAUAGAGAGGACAGUGAUGUGAGGUGGUAUGAUCACUUCUGUUCCAUAGGCGAGAGAGAAUGGGGUUUCACCAGUCGAUCUUCGCUUGGUGGUGUGAUAAACCCAUGGUACUCUGGGGAGUUCAUCCACUCAUUUCCCUUCAGCGCCUUCCAGCCUUUUCUUUAAGCAGUCCAAUAUGACUUUGUUGGAUGCCUUGGCUUGUCCAUUUCCUUGUGGAUACCUCGGGGUGGACAAGUGUUGUUUGAUCUUGUAUUUCACAAAAAAAGCGGUGAUCUGCUUGCCAAUGAACUGUGAGCCAUUGUCGGUAACCAACGACUGUGGGCAGCCAAACCGGCAUAUGAUGUUUCUCCAGAUGAAUCACUCCACAUCGGCUUCUUUAGUAAAUGAUAGAGCUUCGGCCUCGAUUCAUUUAGUAAAGUAGUCGGUGGGGACGAUCAUCAUUUCUUUCUUGGCGGGCGCUAGUGGCAAGGGAUCCACUAGGUCGAUGGCCCAUUGCAUGAACAGCCAUGGACUGUUUUGCGGAUGAUAGACUUCGGCAGGCAAGUUAGGGAUCGGCUUGUAUUGCUGACAGCGUCACAUUUCUUGGCACAUUCAGCACAGUCGUGACGUAUGGUAGGCCAGAAGUAGCCUAUGUUUAGAACUUUCUGGGCGAGUGACCUGCCCCAGAAUGGUUGCCAUACUCGUCGUCGUGAAUUUUACAGAUAAUCUCAAGUGUUUGAUGGUACUUUAUGCAGGUGAGAUGAAGGCCGGAGUAUGAUCUGUGGAUGAGCUUGUUGCCGUGCAUGUAGUAUCUCUCGGCCUUUUGCUGGACUUUUCUAGCUUCGGACUUGUCCGUUGGCAGGUUUCCAUUCGUGAAAUAGUCGAUGAUGAGGUCUUGCUAGCUGGGGUCCUCGUCAAUCUGCAUGGUAUUAAUCGGCUCUAUUUCUUCAAUGCUUGGUCGGUCAAGGUGUUCGACCUAGAUGGAGUGUUUGAACUGGGUAUCCAGCGUUGAACCUUGGCUUGCCAGUGCGUCUGCAUGCGCGUUCUUUGCCCGGGACACUUGUUGGAUAGUGAAGGUAGGAAAUGCCUUCAACAGCUCUUGGACUCUAUCAAGGUAUAAGAUCAUCCUUGGGUGCUUUGCCAUAUAUUCACCUGAGGCUUGAUUCGUGAUCAACUGUGAGUUUGAGUAGAUGGCUAGCUUUUUGAUUGCGAGCUCCUUUGCCAAGCGUAAGUCGGCGAGUAAUGCCUCGUAUUCUACCUCGUUGUUCGAGACCGAGAAGCCAAGCGUAAUAGCUUGCUCUAACAGGGUUCUAUCCAGGGUGGUGAUAACGACCCCUGCUCCAGCUCCUUUUUGGUUCGACGCUCCGUCUACACGCAACUGCCACAUGUCUCUGGGAUGGCUUGGUUCUGCGGAGGUCCUGUCUGCUUUUGAACUUCCCUCCUUUUGGUUGACUAACUUCUCUUUUUUGGCUGAUGGGGUGAAUUCUGCGACGAAGUAUGCUAAAGCCUGGGCUUUUAUUGCAGUUUUUGGCCCGUAGAGGAGGUCAUAUUGGCUUAGCUCUAUAGCCCACUUCAUGAGUCGCUGAGAAGCAUCAGGGCUGUGGAGGAUUGAUCUCAAAAGAAAGUCAGUCAUGACUAUGACUCGAUGAGCUUAGUAGUAGGGUCGCAGCUUUCUCGCAGAAACUACAAGAGCCAAAAUAAGUUUCUCCAAUUUCGGGUAACGAGUCUCUGCAUCGAGGAGAGCUUUUGACGUGUAGAAUACCGGAUAUUGGGCCCCUAUCUCUUCUCGGAUGAGAGCUGAACUGACAGCUGAGUUGGACUUACCUCACUAGGGACUGGAUUUGAGAGCAUGGAAGGUGAGGUGAGGUAAGUCUUCAGAUUAUGGAAAGCUACUUUGCAGUCCUCAUCCCAUUUCUCUCUUUGUCCUUUCUUCAAAGCUUUGAAGAGUGGUCUGCACUUGUCGGUUGAUCUCGAGAGGAAUCGGUUGAGAACCGCUGCUUUGUCCGUCAGACUUUAUAUCUCUUUCACCGUGGAAGGCGACUUCAUCUCUAGAAUGGCUUUGAUUUGACGUGGAUGUGCCUCGACACCUCGUUGCGUGGCUAGGUAUCCCAAGAAUCGGCCGGAGGAUACACCAAACAGGCAUUUACUUGGAUUCAACUUCAUGCGAUACUGGCGGAGCAAGCUGAAUGAUUGGGUAAGACUUCCGAUGUGAUCUGCACGUUUUGGGGCUUUGACCAGCAUGUCAUCCACGUAGACCUUCAUAGUUUUGCCGAUCUGCUUAUUGAAGAUUUUAUUCCCGAGCCUUUGAUAGGUUGCUUUGGCGUUCUUCAGCCCAAAGGGCAUGACCUUAUAGCAGCAGGUCCCUCUCUCGAUGAUGAAAAAAGUUUUUGCCUUGUCAUCCUCGUGCAUCAGGAUUUGUUUAUAGCUGGACUAGGCGUCCAUGAAGCUAAGCAGUUGAUUGCCAGAAGUGGAAUCCACGAGUUGGUCGAUUCUCGGCAAUGAGAAGUUGUCUUUAGGGCAUGCUUUGUUGAGGUCUGUGUAAUCGACACAAACUCUCCAUUUGCCAUUUUCUUGUUUUGCCACCAAAACAACGUUGGCAAGCCACUCUGAGUAGGAGGCCUCUUCGAUGAAGCCGACAGCUAGGAGUUUGUCAAUCUCGGCCUCGAUGAUAGCAAGUCGCUGGGGUGCGAAGUUGCGUCUCUUCUGCGCCACUGGCUUGCAGGCAGGGUUGAAGUGGAGUCAGUGACAGAUGAUGUUCUUGUCGAUGCCAGACUUGUCUGACGGCAACCAUGCGAACAUGUCUCUGUUGCUCUGGAGGAAGGUGGUAAGCUCCACAUUCUCUUCUGGCCUUAGGCGCGAACCGAUCCACUCUUUCCUAUCUGGUUGGUCAGGAUCCAAGGGUAUUAACUCGACGUCCUCCUUGGGUUUCCAUCCUUCUUCAGGAAAGACCUAUGGACGGAUUUCCUCGACUUGGUCCUGACGCUUUAAUUGCUAUAAGAUAGCAAGAUCCAGUUGCUCAACCUCCUCCAGAUCUGCCUGGCUCACAGGGAGAAACUGCGCUUGUUUACCUUUCUUUAGCCCUUGGGCGGAGCAUUUCCUCGCCAUUGCCUAAUCGUUGUUGAUUUGGCCGACACCGCCCCCAAGGAUUGGGUACCGAAUUUUCUAAUGUGUGGCGGAGGUGAUUGCAUUAAUUUUGCCAAUCGAUGGUCUGCCCAGAAUGCCGUUGUAGGGUAAGACCUUAUUAAUGACCAUGAAGGUUAUGAGCUGAUUAUAAGUGGGGAGUAGACGUCGAGGUCUAUCAUGCCCACGGUAACCGUUGUUGCACCAUUAAAAUCGCUCAGCAACCUAGCUAAUUUGUAAAUCUUUGUCUCCAAUCCCAUCUGUUGAAUGACCUCCAGUUGCAGGAUAUUGGCUGCGCUGCCCUCGUCUGUGUGGAUUCAGUCUACCAUGACCUGAGCAAUUUGAAUGCUGAUGACAAGGGCUUCGUUAUGUGGCAUGUAGAGGCCGAUCAGAUCUUUCUUUUGGAAGCCGAUUACAGGAUCGUCUUCUGCUGGUGGAAGGUCGGUCGAGAUUUGGGAGAUCACAGUGGUCUGUUUGAUCUUCCUCUUUUUUUCCUUUCUGGUCAGCCCAGACUCCUCGGAGUCAGCUAGGAUUGUGUUAAUUCUUAUGACCUUCUGAGGCGGCUCCUUGGCGAUGUCACGAUCUUCUAUCCGCUGGAUGACCUUCUUUGCAAUGAAUUCUGUGCAGUGACCUUCUCUCACGAGUUCUUCAAGAUGUGCUUUCCAAGCGAAGCAGUUGUUCAUAGUGUGUCCGUGCAUUUCAUGGACGGCACAGUAUUUGCUAGUAUUCCUUUUGUCCGGAUCUUCUUUCAAGGGUGGUGGUCUUCUUACCCAAGGUUGUUCUUCACUUGGGCUAAGAUUUGAUGUAUGGAGAUGGUGAACUUGGUGUAGUUCUCUCCUGCCGUAGCAUCCCCUUAUGGGUGCGACCUGCGCUUGUCCUUGUCCCUGUUGCUAAAUCCGUCGCUUCUUUGGCCUGCCCCCUUAGUCGGCUGAUCUUCCUGCUUAGUAGAGUUCUUUGCGGCGAUUCGAUCGUCAUCCCAAAGCGCAUAGCUUUCCGCGGUCUCGUAGACCUCUGCCAAAGUUUGGCUGGGAGUGAUGGUCAGCUCGUGGUACAAGUCGUGCUCAGUCGAAAGGUCUUUCUUGAAAGCAGAGGACGCAAUUUGGUCAUCACAUCCUACAAUGUUGGCCUUUUCUACUUUGAAUCUCUUGAUGUAAUCUCUAAAGGAUUCGUCGAACUUCUUGCGCAGGUUAUACAGGUGGUCAGGGUUCUUCUUGAUUGUUCGGUAAGAGGUGUAUUCUUUGGUGAAUAAGUAAGUCAGCUCCUUGAAGCUGCUGAUCGACCUGGAUGGCAGAGUAUGGAACGAGUCUUGGGCUUCCUCACAAGGUCAUUGCAAACACCUUGCACAUCAGCGCGUCGUCAACCUUGUGGAGGAUCAUGACACUUUUGAAGUGUUUUAGAUGGCUCUCAGGAUCGGAAUCCCCCUUGAAGUGUGUGAAUGUGGGCGUUGAGAAUCGCUUCAGGAGAGCAGCCUGCUCGAUUUUGGCAGUGAAAGGUGUAGAGUAUGCCUGGUCUACCUCAUUUCGUACAUCUUCGAAAUUUCCACCGGUCUUCAAGUCUCGAAGUUGGUCAUUCACAAGCUUCUCUACGUCUUCCGCACACAUUGCUUGUCGGCCACAUUGGCGACCUUCACGAAUUGUUCGAUGCUGACUGACUUCCUCGUUGAUUUCCGAGGAUCGACCUUCUUGUCUGCAUUGCCUAGGUGGAGUGUUGGUGGAUUGCGCCUACGAAAGAUUCUCUGUGGCUUGUCAAUGAGAAUCGGUUCUUCGAGAGUGAGUAACGAAGUGCCUUUCCUCAUGGUCCUUAUUGUGAGGGUUAUCCAGCUGACCUCCCUGGGGCCUAGCCUUUCCUGAAUGCUUCUCUGCGAGUAGACAGUUGAAUGCUUUUCUUCACGAUCCUCGUUGUGAUGGUUGUUUGGCUGACCUCCUUAGGGUCUUAGCCUUUGAUGUACAUUUCCCUGCCUGCCCAAGUAGGUGCGGACGUCGAGUCGUGGGCCCAGCCUUUCGUGCACGUCGUUCCUUAAACUCAAUCUGCUCUGAGUGUGGCUUGCAGAUGCUUGCGACAUGUCGGCAGGUCGAUCACGUUGUUGUCCCUCGACUUGUCUGCCCACUCUUGCUUGACCUGCUUGGUACUCGUUGAGCUGUCUACCGGCCCGUUCAUCCUUCCUUCUUUCCUCGCCUGGUUGUCCAAGGCCAAGGUUUUGAGCAAAGCUUAUUUGGUUGAGGAGCUGCCUCAUUAGAUUGUUUUGGUCGUCCAUUCUUUAAGCUAGCUGGUCAACUCUCAGAUUAAGGUCUGCUUGAUUUCAUGGAUCAGGAGGAGAGAAGUGUGUGGAGCUCAACUGCACAUAGGCUAGGGUUUCAUUAGAGGUGUAUGCGGGAGCGUGUGUCGAGCGUGGAGGCAAUAGAGGGAAUGCUUGGAGUUGCUCCAAGACCGGCCCUAGGUCGGCGGUGGUAACGAGUCCACCUUGAUGGGAAGUUCCACCAUGUUUGGCGGCAGUGACCGAUGCAGUGGUGAGAGGUGGUGGUGCCACCAUGUCGAUCGCGGGAUCGUUGGUGGAGUGGCUUUGGGCCGUCGCAAAUCUAGCCAUCAUGGCGGCUUUGCCUCUCGUGUUCAUGCUUCCAACCAUGGUUGUUUGGAAGGCUUAGGUGGAUUGGAAAAUUAGAGGAACGGAUUCCUUGAGCACGCAUUGAGUAUAACUCGUGCUCUCAAUGAAAGCACCAAUUUGUGGGAGCAAAUUUCCCCACGAGAAUAUUCGGUUCGAAAGAUUCCCCUUUCUUAUUCGCCGCCUCUUUCUCCUCGCAAAAUAGAACAAAUAAGAGGACCACACCCGAGGGGUGUUGGCCAAAGGCCCUCCGAUGCCUAAAUUAGUUCAAGUAUUUGUAAGAAAAACACUAGCUAACUAGGGUAUGGAGAUGUGUUUAAGGUGUAAACCGGGCGGCCGGAACCUUAUGUAAAAGAGAGAGAGAAAUGAGGUGGCUAGGGUUUGAGAGGAAUUUUCUGCAGAGUUUUUAGUAGAGAUUUCAGACGUACCUCAACCAUUGUGUGUGGCCAUCUUUUUAUAGUGGUCUUGGAGGCUAGAGUUUCAGAGAAAUAAUUUCGUAGAUGGAAAGGAAUUAUUCCUCCCCUAUUUAGAAUUGAUUUGAUUAAUUACGGAUUUGAUUUAUUAGGGUAAAUCAAAUCCCUAAUUGUGGUAAGUAUCAAAUCAAAUCCUUUUUUAAUUAGGUAACUGCUCAUUUAAUUGACAAUUGUGGUAGGAAUCAAAUCAAUUCUCAACCUAAUUGGUAACGUUCAAUUUAAUUGGGUAAUUCCCAAUUAAAUUGAGUAACUCCCAAUUAGGUUGAUUAAUUCACACUUAGAUCAAAUAAUCCCCAAAUGGAAAGAAUUAUUUGACCUAAGGUAUGAUUUAAUUCGAUUCCCACAAUAUUUAGAUGCAUAAUUGAAUGCGAAUAAACAUCACUCUCUCCAGUGUGAAAUGGCGAAAAUUCUCUUCAAUCAAAAGUGGGCUUACUUCAAAUUUAGUUGAAGAAUGAUGGUGUGUCUUGCCUGACAAUUGACAAUUAGGUUUAGGAGCGUUCCUCUAGUAGAAAAAUCUAAAUCAUUUGUGGUCAUCCACUCACUUGGUUAGUCUUCCAGAAUCAAAUACCAAAUCAACCCAAAGGAAGCUGCAAUUUUCUGAAUUGUAUACUUGUUUUAAUUCUUCCUAUCUUUUUCUCUCUUUCAUUUUUUUUGUCUCCCUCAAGUUAAUACUUAAGUGAGUUGCCAAAUGGGGGUAAAAAAGAGAGUAGAAGAGAUGAACCCCACAUUUGACUUUAAUAGACAAAUGCCCAAGAGAAGUACCAGUAAGAGCAUCUCCAAUUGGGAGGUGCUAUCCUAUAAUUUGACACACAUUUCUUUUUUCUUUUUUUUCAAUUCUAACAACAUGUCAUCUAUAUCGCAAUAGGCCGUUGUAGUUAAAUUUUCAAAUAACCAAGUUGCUCUCUAUUUUCCAAAGAAGACUAGAAAACAACUUACCAUCUAUCUGGUGCUGCUUCUUCCAAACAUUAGAAAAAACAGAGCUACACCCAGGAGGAGCCCAGGAGAUGACACAAUACUGCCUACUAUGAUUCUUACUUUCUUCACAUUCAAUGAGACUAUAAAAUAUAACCCAAGUGGUCUAACCCCCCAGGGCGGAAAUUGGGUUUAGCAAGUUUAGCACUGAUUGUUGUAUAGUCUUAAACAGUCCUGAUCUCUUGGACCCCUGUAGUCCAAGAGAUUUAUGGUCACCCACCGUUGGAUGUAAAUUCAACGGUUGACUUGAAUCGGGUAAUAAUAAUUUAUGUCAUAUUGCAUUUAUAUAUAUCAUUUUGAACCAUUGGAUUAAUAUCCAACGGUGGGUGACCACAAUCUCUUGGACUCCUGUGGUCCAAGAGAUCGGGACUGUAGUCUUAAAAUAAGUAGUUUAGCGAGUGCAAACUUCGACUUAAAAAAACUCUCAUGUAUAGCCGCGCGGCUAUACUAUUUACAUAUAAAUAUAUAAAAAAGCACCCCCUAGUCACGUGUCACAAAUAGUAUAGUCGAAAACAGUAGAGCCGCGCGGCUAUACUGUUUUUAAAAUAAAAAAAACCAUAUUCGAUUCUCCUUAUAUUUAAAAGGGGUAUAGCCGCAUGGCGAUACUAAUUUUUUUUUUUCAAAAAAAGGGACCCCAGUACUCCUUUUAUAUAUUAUAAUAUAUUGUCUAAUAUUUGGAAUAUUUACUCUAAAAUAAACAAUAUAUUAGGUUCUUUUUGUCUACAAAUUGACCAUUAAACUUCUUAAUCACUCUUAUACUUUCAAUUAAAUCUACUAGGCUAGGUUAUGAUAUUUUCACUAAAAAACUCCUCCUUUUUUUCUUCUCUUUCUCUUCCUGUUUUGUUUAACUUAAGCUUAAGUUUUGUAAUUUUUUUUCCCGCCCUUUUUACAUGUUUGAGUAGGGUACUUUAAUAUUGGGAUUUAUGAACUUUUUUUGUAUUUCUUCUUUAUAUUGGAAUAUAAAUUAUUAACUUUUGAGUCUUUAAUAGUGUAGAUGAUGAGAUUAUUAUUCAACCAUUUUAUAAUAUGAAAUGAAGGACAAUCAUGAUUGUGAUGAAUGGAUUAUUAAUCAAUAUGAAAUGAUAUUAUGAAGUGGGCUAAAUCGAGUAGUUAGUAUCGUAUUGUUGAGACCCAAAAAAUCCAAGGCUAGGCCCAAAUAUAUUAUGAAGUGGGCUAAAUCGAGUAGUUAGUAUCGUAUUGUUGAGACCCAAAAAAUUCAAGGCUAGGCCCAAAUAUAUUUCCGGUCCAAUGCGAUACCUUACCGAGAAGAAACCUUAUUUGGGCACGCGAAAGUUCGUCAUAUGCUCUUGCACACAUGCCAUGCCAAGCAAAUAAGCAACAUGCCACGCUACAAGCUUAAGUGGGCCCAAGCCACGUGAAUGCCUAGGGCCUGCUGAGUGGGUUGUGGUAUGGAUGGUUAUGAGUAUUCACGAGGCCCAUUGAUGGUCUAAGGAGUGGAAGUUUUGGGCUACUUGGGAGCACCAAAACUCAAGCCCAUUCAUUGAGCCCAAACAUAUGGGUAAGCAUGAGAUAAAACCUAGUAGCCCAUCACCUUAAGAAAUCCUAAUAGCCCAUAACAUGUGAGAAAAUCCCACAUCAACCAAAGCUUCCAGCAGUCUGACGAAAUCAAAGGGAACUCACAAGCCGUUGGAAACAAAACAACCCAACACUGUAACACCCCGACCCCAAAUUUCCCCAAAUUUAACCCUUAUUUAAUUAUUUAAGGGUAUUUUAGUCAUAUUUUUAACCGGAGAGAGUUUGGGGCAAUGACUAGUAUUUUUGGAUAGGUCGUACUGAGACGAGUUUAUGGACACGCAGUGAGCUCGAAUCGGAGUUGUAACGAGAGAGAUAUGGUCAAAAGAAGCCCAGUGGCACAAUCGUAAAUAUUUUGAAAUGAGAUUUUUUAUAAAAAUCUGGUUUUCUCUCUCUCUCUCUCUCUCUCUCUCUCUCUCUCUCUCUCUCUCUCUCUCUCGCUAGCGACCUCUCUCUCUCUCCCCCGUCGGUCUCUCCCCUCUUUCUCCUCGUAACUCCGGCCACCGGCCCCGGCUGUGGACGGGGCCGGUACCAAAAUGACCGAGGCGUCGUCCUCUUCCUACCCCAGCCACCUCCCACCGCCAGCCGUCGCGGAUUCGCCGGAAUCUGGAGAUGAAGCGGCCUACGUCGUCCAAAUUUCAAAGCUGCCGAUCUCCCUCCUCCGGCCACCAAUUCCGUCGACCCAGGUAUGGAUUUUGAACUUCUCGAGCUGCUCUAGCUGAUGGUUGGGUAGGAUUAGAUCGAUUCUUAGCUUAGACAACUCGAUUUUCAAAUUGAAAAUCGGCCGAACUUCGGCUGCCGUGAUCGGCCAUUUCCGGCCACUUUUUGGGGUAGGUCCAAGAACAAAAGUGGCUCCAAAUAGGGUGUUAUACCUAGGGUAGGAGUUUGGAGCCGUGGUUUUGAGAUUUUCCGGCGAAGCGUUAUCGCUUUGGGCACCCACGCGCUGCCGGUGCGUGCGGCGGCGCGUGGGCACUGUAGAAAAAGUAGCACUGUGUUCCGAUGAGAUCCUUAGGUUGUCACGAGUGCGUAGGAUUUUGCGGAUCUCAAUUCGGACGUCGUUUGACUAUCGAACGGAUAUUCGCAUAUUGCGCGUUAUUCGGGUUCGAUAGGUUGGGACCGUUGGAUGGACCCAAAUUUAAUAUAUGUUAAUCUAAUUAAUUCUAGGAUCGUGUAGGAAUUCACGGAUUGUGAAUCGGAGCCCCGGAUGUUCCGAAUAAUAAUUUUAAAGUUUGUAUUUUAUAUUAAUUGUCAGAUCGUGCGAUCGUGAGCAAUCUGACCGUUCGAUCUGAACCAAACUUGCAGGACAAGUGUCCUAUACCUUGUAGAACCCAUAGGGACCUUCGGAUCGGAAAUUGGAGGUCGUGGGUUCCGCAAGUCGGUUUGACCAGGGUUAGAGAAGUUUGACCCUUGGUUGACCGUGAGUCUCCCGGAGUAAUCUCACCUUUCUAGGGGAGAUUAUCGGGUACUAGAUGAUUGUGGACACAAUAUUAGAAUUAAUUUAUAUAAUUAUAAUUAUAUAUGGUUGUACAAGGGUACAACAGAGUCUAGAAUGUCAGUUUGGAGUGCUAUACGCACUACUUUAGGUACCUCCCCGGAUGUUGGGAUUUACUACAAGUACCACCAAGUGAAAUUGAGGUCCCGCGUGGCGUAGGUUAUCCAGCGUUGGGAUAGGUCUCAUACGUGGGGUUGGUUGUACCGGCGUAUGGGGAGAUUUGUGAUAUUAUGUUCAGGUCUCACGUGGCGUAGGUUAUCCGGCGUUGAGACAGGCCCCAUACGUGGUGUUGGUUGUACCAGCGUAUGGGGAGCUAUGUGAUAUUGUGUUGAGGUCGCACGUGGCGUAGGUUAUCGGGCGUGUCGACAGACCCCAUACGUGGCGUUGGUUGUACCGGCGUAUGGGGAGAUUUGUGAUAUGAAAUUGAGGUCCCACGUGGCGUAGGUUAUCCGGCGUUGGGACAGGCCCCAUACGUGGCGUUGGUUGUACCGGCGUAUGGGGAAAUAUGUGAUAUGAUGGCAUGGUCGCACGUGGCAUAGGUUAUUCGGCUUGUUGACAGGCCCCAUACGUGGCGUUGGUUGUACCGGCGUAUGGGGAGAUUAUUUGAAAUGCAGAGAAACGAAAUAUGGUAUCGCCCAAAUGUGGAAUUGGGUUUUAGGGAAGAACUACGUGUGGCUUGAUCCCUCAAGGAGGGUACGUAGGCAGCCUAAGGUUAAUAGGUGCAGCCGCAGACUAAAUGUUAGUCAUAAUUGAUAUUUGAAUUGUUUGGUAGUUGGUUAAGAAUUAUUGGAAGGCCGAAGGCCAUUUGUGUGAAUUGCAUGAAAUUAUAUUGUGCAUGCUGCCAGUUGGGAAUAUUAAAUGCGUUUUUAUGCAGGUAUAAAUUUUAGGAAAUGUCCAAUUUAUAGGGGAGACUCUGCCGAAUUUUCGGCAGGAAGUCUCAGUUUUUAGUAUCUGGGCCUGGCAUCGGGAGGAUGUCGGGAAUUCCAAAGGGUCGUCUCGAGUUCUGAAAAAUUCGGUGCGGGUCCUUUCAAACACCUUAUAAAAUAUCCAACGCCGUGCAUCUCUGUUAAAACCAGAUCACAGCCAAACCACCAAAACCAUGCAAACCCAUAUGCUGAUCACCAUUUUUACUAGCACCCUUACCCAUUCUUUCCUCUUCAAGCUUUGGUGAGAAAACAAGAAACAAAAGUGGGCGGAUCUUCACCCACAUGGAGAAAUCCAGCUGCCUGAGGGCCCUGGAACUCCAAAAAACUUCUUACCUACAUGCUCAGGCUAGGGAAGUUUCACCAAAUAAGCAAGAAUGGAAGAAAGUGAAGGAAAAGGGGAAAGGGUGGCUUGACGAAAUUAAGGUUUUCAGCACUUAUAAAAGGAAACACUUUCUAUCCAGCAAAAACAACUCACCCUGGUUGCUGCAAGCCUCCUAGCAACCAUGAGAAUUCAUUGAAGGCAAGCAUCCCCUUUGGAACCCUUCAAUUUCAUGCUUUGUUCUUCCAUCUUCCUCCUUUCUCUCUCUCUCAAAACCCACAUCCAGAGAGAGCAAGCAUCAUCUCUCAUCUUUGGAACCCUUCGAUUUGAAGCCUUGUUCUUCCAUUGCUUCCCAUUUUCUCUUCUGUCAAAUCACCUAGGAGCUUGACGAAACUUUCGUCAAGCUGCUGGAAAUAUGGUAAAGCCACCCAUGCUUCCAUCUUCUUCCUCUCUUUCCAUAAACACACAUCCAAAGAGCAAGCUUCAUCUCUCAUCCUCUAAACCUCUGCAAUUUCAAGCCUCAUUCCUCUAUCUUCUCCCAUUUUCAGCGGUAGUGAGAAUGAUUUCUGCGUGUGCAUGGGAAGGAUUGUAACUCAGAUGAGGAGGAGAUGGUUUGGAGUGGGGUGAGGCAGUUGGAUAGAGCUCUUGGCCUUUUCAAGUUUGGAUGGGAAAGAGCAGGGAUGAAAGAAGCUUUACAACUGCAAGGGCAUAUAUGGUGCGUAGGGGCUGAAGGCAGAACACUUACAUAUAGAGGAAACACAUUUUUUGUCCAUGGGAUUCAUGUUUGACAAACACUUGUCUUAGACUAUGAGUUCAAAUUUCAAAACCUUUUUUUUUUCUUUCUGAAAUCAGGACCAGUGUGGAGAACUAGCAAGGAUUGGAGAAACAGAUUUUUGGGCGUCACUUGACCACAGAUUGUUGAUUGCUCAAAUGUGUAGAAUUGGCCAUCUUAAAUGUCAAAAUGAUUUAUCAAUUGGGGUUUUUUUAGAAACGUUUAUGUUUGUCAAUAGAGACAGAAGUCAGAGAACAUAAACCUUUCUCAGCAAAUUGAAAUUCUCAGUGCAUGCUCUGUUCUUCCAUGGCUUUCAAACCUUCUCUGCCACGGUGAAAUGGAUCGAUAGAGAUAGUUUAGGCCGUUCCAUUUGUUUGAUGAAGCAUUCGUUCUAGGGAUUCUGUAUAUUCAUAACAAAAUCACUAGAAUGAUUCUUAGAAAUUCAUCACUGCUAAAGGCAAUGGGUUCAGCAUAAUAACUUCUUAGUCUUGCUUCUUGGUCCUUUAUUUUCUUUGCAUAAUACUCCAAGUUUACCUGGGUUCUACAGAGAAAAUCUCGUAGAUACCUCUUUUUGUGGUCUUCCAUGGCAUUUAAGUGCUGCUUUCCAUGGUGAAGUGGGCCUAUAGAGACUACCUGAGGUGUGUAGGCUUUGUCAUUUCCACGCCGUAAUCGCUCAGGAACUCUGUAGAUACACCUUCAAGGGGGACAAGGGAGACAAACUAUCCAAUUCCUUGCGCCUUACAAAUAGAUCGCAUGGGUUUUCUAUUUCAUCUGCAGCUUCAUCAAUUCCUUCCAUUUUUCUCCUGAUCAUCAUGCGCGGUGAUUCAAAUAUUUCAUAAUGAACAUUGAAAUGAGAUGCUACAAGCAAACUUAUGAAAAGAAACAGAAAUACCAAAAAGACAAAUCAAUGUAGAUGGUUUAGAAAAUCUAAACAUUGCAAUUAUACUCCUUUGCCCAACUUCUAGGAGCAAACGUACACAAAGACCUUAUUGCUUCCAACUUUUCCAACAGAAUUUCAUAUGAAUUGCUCCAAGUGAAAUCCGUAUGAAAAAUCGGUAGUUGGAUUUUCAUCCUGCUUUAAUAUGAUUAUUUAACUUCUAACAAAAAAACUCUUAUUACUUGAGCAAGUAAAAUACUAUUCCAGGUUUCUCCUAGUUCUAUAUGCGCUUAUAAUUGGUAUACUCUAUAAAUACCAUAAUCUGAAUUUCUCUGUUUUGAUUACUUUAAUUUAUUACUUAUGUUUUAAUUAUUGUUUACUUAGUGAAUUAUUAGUAUUUAAGAGAAGGCCUUCCAUCGAUUAGGCACCACGUGUCUAUAAUAAGUAAAGCCGUCCGGCUAUACUUAAAAAAAAAAAAAAUUGUAGUAUAGCCGACCGGUAUAGCCGCGCGGCUAUACUAUUUAAUACAUUAUAUUUAAACGGUAUAGCCGCGCGGCUAUACUAUUUAAUAAAAUAAAAAACAAAAGAAAAAGAAAAAUUACCCUCCUAUUUCAUUAGUUUGUACUUUAUAGAUACUAGCCCCUUGACACAUGCUCACGCAUGUGCCAAUUGGUUUUCUUUUUCUUUUUUAUUUUUAUUUUUAGAAUUAAGAAAAAAUAACAGGAUAGUUAUGUUCCAUAAAAGUAGGACCUAUUAUCUUAUUUUGUUUUUAAUUUUAAUUUUUUUAAUAUUAAAAAAAUAUGAAUUUACGAUAUUAUCCUCAUUUAAUUAAUAAUUUCAAUUCUUAAUGUUUGAAUUAACAAAGGGCAUUUUCUGGUAUUUUGAAUGUUUCACCAUUCUCUGCCUUUUGCUUUAUAUAUAUAGAUUAAUUUGCCAGUUUCAAGAUAUCCAAAGUACAUAUUAGACUUUCACUAUAUAAAUUUCAAUAUAUAUUUUUUAUAACAUGUGUUGUUCUUAUUCAAUAAUAUGUGAGAAUUAUUUGUAUAAUACGUGAAUUUUGUGUGUCUUACUGAAUUUUUUUAAAUACGUGUAUUAAACGUUACAAAUACGUACAUAUAUGUACAACACGACUAUUGUAAGUUUGCUAUAUAAAAAAAAGUGAGAUGUAUCUAGAACACGAAUGUAUUAUCGAAAAAUAUAUAUGUAUGUAUAUAUAUAUAUAUAUAUGUAAAAGCCUAUAGCCUCUCACCUAUACUAUUUAUUAAAGACAAUUUAAAAAUUACAACAACAAAAAAACCAGUACAGCCACAAAGCUAUACUAUUUUAAAAAAAAAAAAUAGAAAAAAUAUCAAGUACUACACAGGGCAAAGGCCCAGUGUAAAAUAGUAUAGCCGUACGGCUAUACGUUUUUAAGAAGAAUUUAAAAAACUAAGUAUAGCUCACCGACUAUACUAUUUUUUAAUAUAAAAAAACAACCCCAUCCAUUAGGCGCCACGUGUCAACAGAAGUUUAUUUUUAAAAAAAAAAAUUAAAAGACAAGGAGUAUAGCCGGGUGGUUGUACUAUUUUUUUAUUUUAAAAAGAAGACAGUCCAUCGAUUAGGCGCCACGUGUCCAUAAUAAGUACAGCCGCUCGGCUAUAUGUUGGAUAUUUUGAAACUAGCAAAUUAAUAUCAAUAGCCGGUCGUAACCUAUGCUGUCCACGUCACUCAUGUUUUACCAGAGUUAAAGCAUCCACAAUGAGCUCCCCAAACCAUCUCUUUAGACAAAUUUUAGGGAGAAAUUGGAAAAGUACAACUCCAACCAUGCUCCCUAUCCACCAACUAAAAUAGGGAGACCUCUAGGAGCUCCUAAAUCUGAGGAGAGGGAAAGGACUCUUAGUGACUCCCUAUAAUUUAAUGUUGCUUUGUUUUAUGCAUAUUUUAAACUUUUAAUUAAAUCAAAUUAUUAUUUUAUAUUAUUUUGUAUACAGAUGGACCAAUUAUAUUAAAUUAAAAAAUAAUUAAAGUAUUUGUGACUCUCUAAACUAAGGAGUAUGAUUAGAGUUCAAAUUUUAUAAAAAGCUCUUAAAAUAGCUUUUGUGUGUUUUUAGCUAAAUUUUAACUAAAAAAUUUGAAGAUUCUUUAUUUGGGUUUCUUUCAAGACGAAAACCAUAUCCACAACAGACAUCUUUGGCUGUUCAUCACAAUUGAGAGACAAUGAAGAAGACAUAAGGGAGAGGCUGCCAAAUACUUAUCACCUUAGCCACCACCAACACCACAAGACCAAUAUGUGUAGGCCAGGAGGCUUUCCAAUUUUAAUAUAUAUAUAUAUAUAUAUUAAAAAAUAAAAUAAAAAUCAAUCUAUUAUCAUAUAUAUUAUAAAAUAAAGAUUAUUGCUCCAUCCUCCAUGCACUUGCGUGCCCUCUUACAAAGUAUGAAGUAGAUUUUGUUAGCUGGAUUUAUAAGAUCUUUUGUUUUUUGGAAAUUUUCUGAAAUAAGGAAAAUCAAGUAAAAUUAAUAAAGCAUAAAUUGGAAAGGGAAAAUAUCUAGAGGAUGCAUUGUAGGAUUGCUCAAGCCAAUAAUUGUACCCUCUAAAUAUAUAGGGACAUAUUUUUUUUGUUUUCAUGACAUGUCGUCCUAAAAUUAUUGUUCUUAGCGGGCUCUCCACCCCCUCUCGAUUGAAAACCUAUUGUGUAAAUCUUCAAUCCUGAAUUAGAAAAGUACAACUCCAACCAUGCUCCCUAUCCAUCUCCUAAAAUAGGGAUACCUCUAGGAGCUCCUAAAUCUGAGGCGAGAGAAAGGACUCUUAGUGUCUCUUUAUAAUUUAAUGUUGCUUUGUUUUAUGCAUAUUUAAACUUUUAAUUAAAUCAAAUUAUUUUUUUAUAUUAUUUUGUAUACAAAUGGACCAAUUAUAUUGAAUUAAAAAUAAAUUAAAGUAUUUAUGACUCUCUAAACUAGGGAGUAUGAUUGGAGUUCAAAUUUUAUAAAGAGCUCCUAAAAUAGCUUGUGUGUGUAGGGGUCUUUUUCUUCUGGCAACUACAGAUGGGUUGGGCUACCGUAAGGAGCAAACUGAAGAAAAUAUCCCCUGUGUCUGAGUUCAAAGAUUCGGCCCCAAAAUAUUUCGAAAAGGCAGUAAAGCCUUAGGAAACACCUUAGUUACCUUCACCAACGAAAAUGACGGCUGCUUACAGGUAGAUUCUUAGUGCUUACAGAUGAAUUCUUAGCUUAGCAUGAGGAGAUCGUGGCAUGGAAGCAAAGUUAGCAUGAGUUUAGCACUAAAGAGAAAAUUAUGUGUUCUUGGGAGGAAGAAGGGGUGUCCAGGUAAAUGGGAAAAGGUUUUGCAAGUAGAUUUGGCUAAGAGAGAAGGGAGAGAGAGAAGAGGGUGGCUAGAGUGCUUCUUCCGGCAGCUUGACAGUGACUCUGUCAAAUGUUAGAGCAAUCUGCCAUAAGAGGGAAAAUGGGGAAGAAGGAUGAACAGUGCACAAAAUUGCUAGGUUUUUGCAAGUAAGAGAGGAAGCUUGCUCUCUGGAUGUGGAUGAUCCGUUGGGUAGAAGAGGCCCCAUUUUAUAGCCGCUGGAAACUAUCAUUUCUCAAGAAACCCUAAUAGUUUCUACCCAAUUUGGUCAAGCUUUUCCCUUCCUUUCUCAUCUCCUCCCUUGACUUUUCCUAUCUUGGUGAAAUUUCCUCUGUCUAUUUGCACAAAAUCAGGAGCUCAAGGCCUCCCUUUCCCGCAACUGUUCAAUGGGAGACUCCAUUCUUAGCUAUUUUUCUUCUUCUUUCCUUCCUCCUUCCCUGACCAAAUCUGAUGAAGGAAAGCAAAUAGGUGCACACAUUGGUUUGAAGGGUGCUUCUCCUUCUAGCAGCUUACAUGCCAAUAUCCCUUGGGUCCUUGCAUGUUUUUUGCUUUGAAACUUGUUUCUUCCUUCCCGUCAACUCACGUGGUCUUCCAUGCUUCUUCAUGGCUUUAUCUUUCAGCCAAAAGAUGGAGUUUUUACUGCUUGCUACUUUUAAUUGUAUGGGUCUUCUAGGAUAGGAAGUCAACCUACCAAACAAAUGGGCCACCUUUAUCAAAUAUUGGGCUGUUGGGGUUAGUUUUAGUGGGCCAUUUUGACUGGGCUUUUUGGUUGGGUUAUUUAAGUUAUUUUCCCUUUUGUGCUCACCCAUGUAUUUAGGCCUAAGAAAUGGGCUUGGGCUCCGAGUCUCCCAAGCAACCCGGAACCUCCAUUUCUUGGCCCAUUAAUGGGCCUCAUGACAACCUAUUACCAUCCAUACCACAACCCACUCAAGCAAGCCCCGGGCAUUUGAAUGGCUUUGGCCCACUUUAGGCUUGUAGUGUGAUUGGGUGUGGCAUAACGAUUUCUCGCUUGGCAUGGCAUGUUGCUUGGCAUGUUUUUUCAUUACGAUGCUUGAUGGAUUUGUAGAGCUACCUAUUUUUAUGAUCUUAAUCUUGAUUCCUAGCAUGACAAAUUUAUUUAUUUGGCAUGGCAUGCGGAGCGUGACUUGUGCGUGGCGAGUUUUGUAUGCUCCAACUUGGGCCUUUCCUAAAUAAUGUAUCAUUUUGGGUUAUGAAUUCUUUCGGGCCCAACCGUGAAUUUUUUGGGUUUCAACAGUGUGUUUUUAGCUAAAUUUUAACUAAAAAAUAGGGAGCAUGAUUGUAGAUCAUCUUAUAUACCUUAAUUUGAAGAUUCUUUAUUUGGGUUUCUUUCAAGAUGAAAACCAUAUCCACAACUGGCAGACAUCUUUGGCUGUUCAUCACAAUUGAGAGACAAUGAAGAAGACAUAAGGGAGAGGCCGCCAAAUACUUAUCACCUCAGCCACCACCAACACCACAAGACCAAUAUGUGUAGGCCAGGGGGCUUUCCAAUUUUAAUAUAUAUAUAUGGAGUGAAAAAAAUAAAAUAAAGAUUAUUGCUCAUCCUCCAUGCACUUGCAUGCCCUCUUACAAAGUGUGAAGAAGAUUUUGUGUGCUUCAAGUCAUUGACUAGAGCUGAAACAUGGUUAGCUGGAUUUAUAAGAUCUUUUGUUUUCUGGGAAUUUUCAGAACCAAGGAAAAUCAAGUAAAAUUAAUAAAGCAAAAUGGAAAGGGAAAAGAUCUAGAGGAUGCAUUGUAGGAUUGCUCAUGCCAAUAAUUGUACCCUCUAAAUAUAUAGGGACAUAUUUUUUUUGUUUUCAUGACAUGUUGUCCUAAAAUAUUUGUUCCUAGCGGGCUCUCCACCCCCUCUCGAUUGAAAACCUAUUGUGUAAAUCUUCAAUCCUGAACGAUGCUCCUAAAACUCAAGUGUCCCAGGCCAAUUAUUGCUCUCAUACCACUUGUUGCAAUACACAUCCACUCAUUCUCAGGGAAAGAAACCCAUCGAUAUUAUCUCAAAUUUAACCACUUUAGUCUAUUAUGAUUAACUAUGUAUUUUAUGGAUCAAUGCAGUUGUGAGGUUUUAUACCCAAUUAGAUCGACCAAUACAGAGAUCACAUGUGGACUGAAAAGCGCCAUCGGUAGGGGAGUGUUUGGCACCCUUUACUGCCGAGUGCAACACAAGACCCCUUACCAGGAACUUAUCUACUAGGACACGUGAAGCCACCACAAGUAAUAUCAACAGUCCCACAUCGAAGUUUAACAUAACAUGUACACUCCCCAGGACUGAUAAAAGUGGGCACAAGUCCCAAAAAUGGGGGAACUUGGACUUUCAGCAAUUCAUCCAUUAUUAUGUCCAAAUUACUAUACACUCCGUACUUAUUCUUACUUAAGCAUUGGAGAGCCUUCGGCCGGUACCACACCAGUGCCUAAGGGCUUACCGAGCGUUCUCUAUCUUGCAUAUUGAUCGCUCUACUGAAGCCCAUAAAGAGUUAAAGGUCAAGACAUCACUAAGUUGAGCCCAAAAGUGCUGAACCACAUCAAAAAUAUGUAUAGAUUGAAAAAAUAAAAUAAAAAUCAAUCUAUUAUCAUAUAUAUUAUAAAAUAAAUAUUGGAUAAAUUACUCAAAUGGUCCUCAAACUUAUACUCGAUUUACAUUUUGGUCUCUCAAUUAAAUUAUUUGUUCAAAUGGUCCAUCAACUCUAUAUUAUUUCUGCAAAAUCUACAAAGUGGUGGGAGGCAGACCAACAAAAAAAAUUAGCGAAGGCUUAUAACUCUGGUAAAACAAGAGUUACUUGGAUAGAAUAAUGUUACGUCGUACUGAAGAUUUUUGGGUUUCUUUAAUUGGUUAAGUGAAGAUUCUUUAUUUGGGUUUCUUUCAAGAUGAAAGCCAUAUCCACAACCACAACCACAACUGGCAGACAAUCUUUGGCUGUUCAUCACAAUUGGGCGACAAUGAAGAAGACAGAAAUUGGAGUACUGUAUGUUAUCACCCACACCACAAGACCAAUAUAAGGAGGAUGGGGAGGCUGCGGAAUACUUAUCACCUUAGCCACCACCUACACCACAAGACCAAUAUGUUGUAGGCCAGGAGGCUUUCCAAUUUUAAAUUAGAUAAAUCGGAAACUGUUUCGAUAUCCAAUUGUAUUCUAUAAAAUCAAUGAACACGGUGCUUCAAGAAAGUAAUAAAAUUUCAAUAAUUCAAUUGAGUGGUCAAAUUCAAGUGAUUUUUUGUAGUGAUGAUCUUUGAAUGAGUAUCUAUAAAAGAGACGGUUUGGAUUAGUGAAAUACAAUAUGGAGUGGGCCCUACCAGCAAUCCACGACAAAAUGUCUGCAAGCUUUCGUAAUAUAAGGAGGAUGGGGAGGCUGCGCAAUACUUAUCACCUUAGCCACCACCUACACCACAAGACCAAUAUGUUGUAGGCCAGGAGGCUUUCCAAUUUUAAUAUAUAUAUAUAUAUAUAUAUAUAUAUAUAUAUAGGGAUGUGAUUUCUCUACUCCCCUUUUCUCUACUUAUACUCCCUUUUGCUUUUAAAUACUUUUUAAUCAAUUUUUUUUCCGCUUUCCUAUUAAUAUUCUACCAUUUCCCUACAUUAAUUUCUUUUUACUUCACUUUUAUAUUAGUUCUUUUUCUUUAUACUUAAUUUUUCAACUUGCACUCCAUUUUCAUUAUUUUUUUCCUAAUCGAGUAAGAAAUUAAGUUUUUUUUCCCCAUUUAAUACUGAAAAUGGAGUGUAAGUUAGAAAAUUAGGUAUAAAGAAAAAGAAAUAAUAUAAAAGUAAAGUAAAAAAGAAAUUAAUGUAGGGUAAAGGUAGAAUAGAAAAGAGAAUGAACAAAAUUGAUAAAUAAAUAAAAAAGGUUUAAAAAGCAAAAAGGAGUGUAAAUGGAGAAAAGGGGAAUGAGGAAAUCAGCUCCAUAUAUAUAUAGAUUGAAAAAAUUAAAAUUAAAAUCAAUCUAUUAUCAUAUAUAUUAUAAAAUAAAGAUUAUUGCUCCAAGGAAAUGACAUCUUUUGUUUUCUGGGAAUUUUCUGAACCAAGGAAAAUCAAAUAAAAUUAAUAAAGCAUAAAUUGGAAAGGGAAAAGAUCUAAAGGAUGCAUUGUAGGAUUGCUGAUGCCAAUAAUUGUACCCUCAAAUUAUACAUGGACAUAGGGGUGGGCAUUCAAAUAGGCAAACUAGAAAUCCGAGCUGAACCGCACCUAGGAAAACCGGAAAAAAAACCGAGUUGACCAAAAAGUCAACAACUGGUCAAAAAUCGAACCGGACCGAUUUGGACUGGUUUUGGAUUCAGUUUAUAUGCAAUGCUACAUUUUUAGUCUCAUAACUAAUAUUUAUCCAAGUUCAAUUUCAAAACAUCUUUCUUUUUUAGCUUUAAUAUUUAUUUUUAUAUGAAAUUAAAUAAUUUAUUAAUUUUCAAGUAAAUAAAAUAAAAUUUCAGUUGAAAUUUAUAUUAAAAAAAUAAUUUUAAUAAUCCAGUUCAAAACCAAACCGGACCAUCCAGCUGUGAGGUACAUUUCUCCCACAUGCCACAAUUGUAUAUUCACAAUUACGUCUGAUACAUCACAUCAUGCCACUUGCCUCAAAUGAAUUUAAGUGAGUGUGGCAGUGGAAAGUAAUUAAGCUCUAUAUUGGUGGGUGGACUGUUACUUCUGGGUUCCCCUCAUCAUUCGUCUAUAAAAUGGUGAAGGCAGUUGCUAUUGUUACCAUAAGAGCCAGCUCCGACUUCCUUUAAUUUCUUGCUUCAUAUCCACUAGCUACAUCUGUUACCAAGUUAAUUUCAGUCCUAAUGGGGUUUCAUCUCCCACUCAUCUUUGCUCUUCUCAGUGUAAGCUCUGCAAUUUGAUUAACUUUUCCAUUCUCUCUCAUUGUACUCUAUAUAAACGAAAGUUUUGUGUUCCUAUAAUUCUCUCCGAUUUUAUUUAGUACGUACUUAAGUGUCGUCCACUAAUUAAUUACACUUUGUGAUUUGAUUUUAAUUUGAGUUCGAAUUAAUGUUGCAGCUAGCAGCAGUGGCACUGGCAAACCAUGCUGCUCAACCAGCACCUCAACUUUACUGGAACUCCGUCCUGCCAAACACACAGAUGCCAAGAUCUAUCAGUGAACUUCUGCAUCCUGGUUUGUGUUGAGCUCUUUAGAAUCUUAGAUAUCUCUUCUACCUGCCAUUUUACUAAAAUAUGUUCCACCACAUAUUUAUCAGUUAACCACUGUUAUUACAUGAGUGACACAUAUUCACAAAUCGGCUGAUCACUUAUUUUCCAUUAUGACGUUGAUAUAUAAUUUGCAGACUCCACAAAUGAAGAAAAGAGCACAAAUGACGUUGGCAAACCUGAAACUUUCCCAUUGGGCAAUAAACAUUACUCCAGUCAAAAACAUUAUGGAAGAGGCAAACCUGAAACUUUCCCAUUGGGCAAUAAACAUUACUCCAGUCAAAGACAUUAUGGAAGAGGCAAACCUGAAACUUUCCCAUUGGGCAAUAAACAUUACUCCAGUCAAAGACAUUAUGGAAGAGGCAAACCUGAAACUUUCCCAUUGGGCAAUAAACAUUACUCCAGUCAAAAACAUUAUGGAAGAGGCAAACCUGAAACUUUCCCAUUGGGCAAUCAGCAUUACUCCAGUCAAAAAAAGUAUGGAAGAGGUGCUUCUCCAUCCGACAAUCAACCACCAAUUCCAUAGAAAUUCAAACACGGCUACUUUCUUGCCACGAGAAAGCGCUCAAUCGAUCCCCUUCUCCUCUAACAAACUACCAGAAAUUUUCAACCAUUUUUCAGUGAAGCCAACAUCUGAGGAAGCCAAAACAAUUAAGCAAACAAUCGAAGAGUGUGAAGCUCCAGACCUUAAGGGAGAGGAAAUAUAUUGCGCCACAUCUUUAGAAUCAAUGGUUGAUUUUAGCACUUCGAAGCUUGGAACAAGAAACGUUGAAGCAAUCUCGACGGAGGUAUUGGAAAAAGGAGCCACCAUGUCCAUCCAAAACUAUACAACAAUGCCGGGACUGAAGAAGUUGGCAGGUGACAAAGUCGUUGUGUGUCAUAAGCAGAACUAUCCCUAUGCUGUGUUUUUCUGCCAUGCAAUAAAACAUACAGCAGCUUAUGCUCUCUCCCUGAAAGGCGAUGAUGGGGAGAAGGUUAAAGCAGUAACCAUCUGCCAUCUAGACACAUCAGAAUGGGACCCAGAGCAUAUGUCCUUCAAAAUCGUCAACGUUAAGCCCGGAACCAUUCCCAUCUGCCAUUUCAUUUCCACUGAUGCUAUUGCCUGGGUUCCGAACCACAAAUCUGCAUGAUCAUCACUUAGCACUAGUACUGUGCGUAUAAUAUGCCUGUAUAAUUAUCUCCCUACUUAUUUCUGCCUGUUCAUCAUGUGGUGUAAGAUAUAUGUUGAGAUGAAGUUUUUGGGAUUAGUGGUCGAAAUUAACCCGAUCAUGUUUUCUCUUGUAACUAUAUAGACUUCAACUUGUACUCAUAAUAAAGCAUGCUAUAUUUAUGAAGAGAUAUUAAUCUUCAGGCAAAUAGAUAUUAUGAAAACAUAUAUAGCAAUUUAUCCAGAAGAAAUAUUAUGAAAUGAAAAGAAUAAAAAGUAAAAAAACAGAAGGAAAGGAAUUCGCACCUGCUAUGUAUGAAAGGACCAAGAUUGUUUUCCCUUUGGUUAAUGACUAGAAAAGCUCACUUGCAGAUUGCUUUCUCUGACCGUAGAUGCAACAGAAAUUUUCUCUUAAUAAUAGCACAAUGAUCGGGUAAUUGUAAGAACAAGUUGAUUUAAAAUUCCUUGACCCAAAAAAAAAAAAAAAAUCAUUUCAAAUUCAGGUCAACCCAUAGAUUUCUUGCCUUUUUCUUCUUCAUCACGUUGGGCUUGUCUUCUUCUUGAGGAUUGUAUAGGCCCAGGAAAUGCUUUGAGGUAGUUUUUGGCCUUGGAAGUUGGGACCCAACCCAACUUCACAAAAAGAAAACAGAUUUGCCAAAAAUCAAAUUUCAAGUCUCUCCUCAGAUCACUAAUACAGAUCAAAUUUUGGAUUUGAUGAACUAAAGUGGUUUUACUUUCUCUGUCAGUGUUUGAUGACUUAAUUUGUUAUUUACUUCUUUUUUU